UUUAUGUUGCAGGGUGAGACAGGUCCAGACACCAAAGAUGGUAAUGCUGGUGCAACCAAAACAUUUGAUGCCAAUAUGGCAUUAAGUGAGGAGGUGAAUGGCACACCUCAAGUGGUUGGUGAGUACGGUGAUGGAAAUGACUACCAGAGUGAAUCACACAGCGAAGGGCAUAAAGAUGAGGAUGAGGACGAGACUGAAGGGGAGGAGAAUAAUUUAGAGCACCCUGGUGAAGUAUCGAUAGGAAAGAAGCUGUGGGAGUUUUCUGACCACAUAAUGAUGCAAAUCAUAUAUUGUAAUUUGCCAAAUUCCGAGCCCAGUUGUGCAGAUUUCCUCGUAGGAACAGCUAGUGUGUAUUAAAAUAUAAAUGUAAUUAUUCGCCAGAAAUUAAUUCAGGUGGUGGUUUGGGGGGGGGGGGUAGGGUUUUCCUUUUGAUUCUUUUGCAAGACGGUCCUAGAUUGGAUAGAUAGAUACAUGAUUUAUUGUUGUAGAAAUGAGUGGUGGACUGUACGGCUUCCACGACCAAAUUGUUUGAAUCGGAUAGUACUUGUGUAUUUCUAAUCUUUUCUGGAUUAUUGUUGACUUUUGUCAUCCGUAAAUGCCCAACCGUUUUACCCGUCCAGAAGAGUCAAACUGAAGCUCGAAUUUUUUAUUUUAAUAUUUGAUUUCAAGUAAAUUUCUCAUAAGAUGUUCUUCUUGAUCAUGUCGCCCCAAGGCAAGGCUAGAACGUGCUUUUAACAUCACUUCUGAAAAGUAAGAUCACAUUAUUAUUAAUCUUGUUAGAGCACUAAUUAUUUUAUUUAUAUUUUUAUUUAAGCUCUUGAGUUGGCAUUGAUUCGGGGUACUAAUUUAGACAGAAAAAUUAUAGAAAUAUUCUUUUAUAAUUAAAAUAAAGUAUAUUAUUAAAAUAUUUUAAUUUUUUAUUUAAAAAAUUAAUAAAAUAUUUAUGUAGUUGAAUUUGAAUUUUUAUGUAUUUUAAUUUUAUUAUUAUUAUAUGUUUUAAAAUUUUGAACUCAUAAUUUUAACAAGACUAUAAUGCGUUUCAAUACAACCGACAUCAAUACUCGAGUCAACCGAUAAAAAUAAUAUAUGAUUUUAGUUUUUAGUAUACAAAUGUCCUCUUUCAAGUUUAUCUUAUUUAUUUCCUUCGAUUCACUCUUCAAUAAUUUGGAGGAAAAACAACAAAAUGAUAACAAUUAAAAACAACUACCGCUUUGGCGCCAGUGAGCCUCCGCCACUUGCAAGUGGCAACCACAACACUCCCAAAAUCAGCCUCGCAAAAAUUUCCAGAUCCAUUUAAAAGAAAAAUGCCCCCUUUUCUCCCAUAAUUGACCCGACACCACCCUACGAAAACACCGCCGAUGUCCGCUCAAUCAGCGGCCACAGCCACCGCCAAUGAGAGAGUCAAAACCUUGACCCUAGACUCCACCCAACUCUACCUCACUGCCCUAAAACUCCACCACUUCCACGCUUUCUUUCCCCCCUAUUCCCUCCUCUUUCCCUCCCUCCAAUUUCAUCCCCAACACUCGCUUCCUCAUCGAUUCCUUCCGCCACCCCUUCACAGCCUUCUCCGCCUCUUACUUUCCUCUCCCACUUCCACUCCGAUCAGUAUCCGGCCCUCUCUCACUUCCUGGUCAAAAGGCAUCAUCUUUUGUUCCCACCUCACUUCCCUCCUCCUCAUCCAAACCCCGUUUCGUCUUCGCUUUGCCUCUAAACGACCCCGUUUUAGUAGAUGGCUGCGAGGUCAUUCUCAUCGACGCCAAUCAUUGCCCUGGUUCAGUCCAGUUAUUAUUCAAAGUUCCCACUAAAAAUGGGAUCUUUGAAAGGUAUGUUCACACAGGCGAUUUUCGUUACUGCAAUCCGAUGAAGUUGAAUAGUUAUUUGAUUGGAUUUGUUGGAUGUGAUGCCAUUUUUUUAGAUACUACAUACUGUGAUCCGAAAUGUAUACUUCCUUCUCAAGAAGAAUCGAUUGAUUAUGUGGUUAGUGUGGUAGAUAGGAUAGGUAAGGAAUUUGGGAAAAGGAGGGUUUUGUUUCUUAUUGCUACUUAUGUUGCUGGGAAAGAGAAUAUUUUGGUUGAGGUUGCACGGAGAUGUAAGACCAAGAUAUGUGUUGAUGGGAGGAAAAUGGAGAUUUUGCGUGUUCUGGGUUAUGGGGAUGGUGAAGUUUUUACUGAAGAUGAGAGUGAGAGUGAUGUUCACGUUGUUGGUUGGAGUGUAUUAGGUGAAACUUGGCCGUACUUUAGGCCGAAUUUUGUGAUAAUGGAAGAGAUUAUGGUGGAAAAAGGGUAUGAGAAGGUUGUCGGAUUUGUGCCGACUGGGUGGACUUAUGAAGUCAAGCGGAAUAAAUUUGCAGUGCAAACUAAGGAUACAUUUGAGAUACAUCUGGUCCCUUGUAGUGAGCAUUCUAAUUAUGAUGAGCUUAAAGAAUAUGUGAAGUUUUUGAAACCGAAGAAGGUUAUUCCUACAGUUGGUAUGGACUUUGAGAAGCUUGAAAGUAAACAUGCUGAUGAACUGAGAAAGCACUUUGAUGGGCUGAUUGAUGAAAUGGACAAUAAGAAGGACUUGCUGAUGGGUUUUCAUCGUGGCAACUGUGAAACUGUAGAAAAGUUGAAAGGGAUGCUAAUGAGGAAAGGGUCAUGGAGAGAAAUAAAUAUAAGUUUGAAAUGAAAACAGUUGAGAGUAAUGACAUGGAUGUUUCUUCGAAUGAUGUAUCUUACGUCCAUAAACCUGAUUCACAAGAUUCAACUAUACCAAGCGAGGAGGAAAGAGAGAGAAUCAUUGAGGAAACCAGGGAUUCUUUGCCCAAAUGGGUGACCAGAGACCAGAUAUUAGAUUUGGUUAGCAGCUCAAGAUGGAAUAUUGUUGAAGCAGUUUCUAACUUUUAUGAGCAUGAAAUUGAAUUCUACGAGCAAGUCUCUGUGUUUAGAACCUUUGAAUCUGCAUCCCAUGCCAGUUCACCAAGCAGCCCUAUAUUACUUUCAAAUUCAGGACCUUUUCGAAGUAGCACUGAUGAAAGUGUAAAUACUAAUUUAAGUCAAGUCAGCAAGUCUCCUAGUUUGAAACUUACACGGUGGAGCAACAUAUCUCCUAGCAAGAGGAAGAAAAACACUGAGAAGAGGUCAAAUAAGAAAGUAAAAAGUAAUUCAAAACUGGAAUCUAGCGGGUCAAAACAACCCACAAUAACUAGCUUCUUCAGUAAACUUUUGCCUGAUGACUCUAAAGGUGGCAAGACUGAUCAAAAAAAUUGAAGAAUGCCCUAAAGGUGAAAACAUCUUGCCUAGUAAUUGGACUAAAUCAUACAUAGAGAAAACAAUCAGUUUAUUCAGAUAAUGUAUUGUCAAGAAACUAUGUUGCGUCCUUGCUUGAGAAAACUCAAGGAGAUAUCGACUAGGCACUGGAUAUGUAUUAUAGUAAUCCUGAGUUGAAACAUGGUGAGAAUACAGAGAAUAUGAUGGUCUACAGCAAAUUAGCUUAGGUCCAGAGCUGUACUAAUGAUUGCUUUGUUAGAAAGAGGAAACAUGUACCAGAGGAAUCAAGAUGUAUGGUGUUUUCAUAUUUGCCAGGACAAUUAAUCGAAACGUUGACAGUUGCAUCCUGAUAAUGUAAAUCUAUAGAGCAAGGUUGGUAUCUGGAUGUCGUUUUUCCUAUAUGCUUAAUAUUGUCUUGAAAUUCUUCUACUUCUAGAGUAUUGUAGCAUCUAUUUAGAAGUUAUUUUUUCUUUUUGAAAUACUUGGCAUUUUUCUUUGAGCUAUACUAGUUUUACUGCAUCUUUGGUGUUUCUUUCUUUUAGAAGCCUUUUCAUAGAACUUCUCAGCUUCCUUUGUGAUACUUUAGAACUUUUACUGAGAUGUCUGUGCAGCAUGCUGGAGGCAUGGUCAGCCUGUUCCAUAUGUUCAUCUUGCAUUGGCUUUUGACCUGGUUAGGGGCUCAAAAGGGCAAGACCAAAGCUGCUUCUAUGCUUUGCAAUAUGUUUAGAAAGUUGGUACAGAUUAUAUCCUUAUUAUUACAUCUCUUGUUGGUGAAAUCAAACUUUACACUUGUAACUGAUUGCUAACCCUUUAUCCCUUCAUAUUUUCUUUCAACCAGUUUGCUAGCCUUGCCCCCCGAGGAUGUGCUUCCUGUUGUGUAUCUGUGCACCUACAAAGUUGCUCCUGACUAUGAAAAUAUUAUUACUCCACAAGUUCUAAUUUCCUACAAAGUAAUGGAUUCGUACUCCACAUUUCUGAAAGAUAAGUUUUCACUCAGAUUGUACUAUUGUAGAUCACUUACCAAAAAGGUGACAGAUUCAAGAGAUACAACUGCCAACACAAAAAACAAGGGGCACUCAUGCUGUACUAAUGAUACAGGAAUUAAGUAAUGGUGGAUGCUUGAUUACGUCUGCACAAAAAGAAGCAUGUGGGGGACAAACCGGUGAAAAGUAAGGGACCUGUCCAAUGACAUUGGUGAUCCUGGUAAGAGCAAUUAAUUCCUCUCAUUGUUUUCUGUUUUCUCCUAGUCCUUCCACAAUUUUUUUUGGAGAGCCUUCUGAAUACCAUAUUUUGGUCUAAGGUGUUGCACAAAUGUGACUAUAAACCCAAACUUUACUUGCUCUUUCACCAUACUAUUAUGAGGACUUAUUUUCUGUGCUCUGGAAGAUAAAGUUGUGAAAAACCCAGUAUUGAUCCUCUUGACAACAAAUGAUUAUAAACUGAAACAUUGAUGACUGAUUUGAAUUAUUUAGAAAUAAUUGGUUAAUGCUCGGAUUUGGUGGUGUAAAAAUCAGGAGGAACUUGCUACAAUAUCGGUUUAUUAAUAAGAACUGGUUUCUAGCUUAACAAUUUAGAACCAGAAUGUCAUUACCACUCUGUUGAUGAUAAGCAAAGCGUUCUACCUCCAGUGAUAUCCUCUUGUAUACCAUGAUACGAAACAACACAUUGUUCGAGUAAUUAUUCAUGGGCACUUAAAUGCUGGAUGGAUAUGAUUAUACAAGACUUUGCCAGAGCCUCUAUUUCCCUUUUUUCAAUAGAACGGAUAAAUUUAGACAAACUUUUUAUGUAUCGAUACCCAUUCGUAAUUUGAUACCAUUUUAAAAUCUAUGUUAUGUGUACUCUAUUUGUCUCAUUUUUCUCAUAAAUUAUUUAUUAGUGUUUGCAAGAAAUUCGAGUAUCUUGUGUUUUGUUAAAUCACAAACAUUGCCAUUCUGUUUAUGCAGACUAUAGCCAGUAUUAUUGUUACCAGAUUUGGCAUUAAAGUGGGUUUCAUUAGAGCUUCCAGCCUUGUGUUUGAUUCAGCUCGAUUACAUCCCUGGUCAUGGUCACAUGGUUACCUCCGAAUUAGGUUUUUGAACUAAAUACUGGGUGCAUGCAUUUGAUGCAUAUUAUCUGCCAGAAAAUAAAAAAUGCAAGUAGCAAACACACGUCAUAACUAUGAAUGAAUGAGCUCAACAAGGCUUUCAAACAAUGAAAUCAAAAGAGGACUCGGUAAGUUGCCAAUGCAUUUAAAAGAAAACAAGAAAAAGCAUAUGGAAACCCCAAAAUUACCAUGGGAAUAUGGUUAGUUGGUUGCAUUACAUAACUCUCUUCUGCAAAACUAGAAGGAAACUAUUUCUUACUUUGCUCUCCCGUCUAUUCUUUUAACAGCUUUCAGUUUUCGUCCUUACGCCCCCUUUUGGCUCCAUCUUUUGUAGACUGCUUUUCAUCUCUCAUUCUCUGCAGUUUAUAUUACAAAUUAGCCUAGGUUCUAACUUAAACACUGAAGAAAUACAUGAAAACUAAAACUUUUUACCUUCCUUUUUGAACCCUUACCCCUUCGAUGGCGUCCUCCUUUAUGUUUUGUUUUCUGUUUAUCCUAGUACAAGACAAUGGAGUAAAACUUAUGUUUCUGCAUAUGGAUAUUAAAUUUUCAAUCAAACUGAAAAAAUCAUAUUUCAGCCAAAUCAACCUGUUCAAUAGCGACAACUGGAGAAUGCGAUUCUGCAGCAGUCUCCUGAUUCUCAAUUUCCCCAUCACUGUUAAGCAUAGUCUUCAGUCUACCUUCCUUUAGUAAUUUCUCAGAUCGAGCAUGCCUCUACAACGAUAAAGGAAGUUCUGUUAGAUGCAUAUUGGUUUAUGUGAAACCAAACAAGCAUGAUAUUCCUUUAAUCCGUUCCGGCAAUCAACGGACAAAACUGAUGCCCACAGAACCAUCAAUUUACAUACAAUCACCACAUAUAAAAUGGUGAAAGUGUAUAGUGUCACAUCAGAUUUCUUAUCAUUUCCUCAAUUCAAAGGUCGACAAUGACUAAAUAAAUUUUUUUUUUGGUGAUAGUCUAAACUUUCCAGGAUUGGAUUGAACCAUAUGGUUUCUCAAUCGUUGAUGUGGUGUGGUUAUACAGUAUUUUGCUACAAAGAGAGAACUAGCAAGCCAGAUGCCUUACCUUGGAAUUAAAGUGAGCCCUAACAGUCUCCUCGUUCAAACAGACAAUCCUUGGGCAUAACUUGCACUUAAAAACUGACUUGCAUUUCAGUAUACAGGCUGGGAAAUCAUCUGGCAGCGGUUCUUUGUUGCAUGGGACAUCCCACUUUUUUCCCCGAAUUUGAGCACCAUGUUCAGCAUGUAACCUAUUGGUGAUAAAUAUUUGUUUAUCAUCUUCACUUUCAUCAUUAUCAUCAUCUAUAAGACCUGCAAAACCAGGUCAUAUUAACCACAAAAGUAAAGGGAUCUUUUUUAGAAUAAACAUAACAAUGCAGUUCAAUAUUGCAUAAUGUCUAAAUGAAAUCAUGACAGCAGAAGACAAUUGUUGUAUCAAGGAUUUAGUAAAUGAGAUUGUCAUGUGUUCUUUUCCCAUUUACAGAGAAAGAAUCAAAGUGAACUUAUGACAGAUUUUAAUGGCGUCAAUCAAACUUCAAACAUAUCCAAGUUCCAAAUAUGGACUAGAAAGACAACUAAAAGCUGAGAUUCAUAGCAAAUGUGAGACAUGGUUUAUAUUCUGACAUGAAAUACACAACACUUUUCCCAUUUAUAGACAAAGAGUCAGCUUAUGACGGAUUUUAAUAGUGUCAAUCGAACUUCAGACUAGCCAGAUAUCAGGAACAAGUUCUAAAUAGGAAAAGACAAAUCAAUAUCUACGAUUCUCAGCAAAUUUCAGACACGGCUUCUAAUAUUUGACAUGAACAAUGCAACACUUUUUUUUUUUCUAAACCAUAUGCAUGCAAAACUCAAGAACCCAAGUUUUAUUUCUCAUGCAAAUGACCAAAUUAUGAAGGUUCUCAAUUCAAUCAAGUAAAACUAUACCUGCCGAGUCCACACCAACUUCAUUCCCUGAGCUAUCCUCGCUUUCAUAUCCUAAAAUCAAACAAACAUACAAAUUGUAAAUCAGUAAAAUUAGUAAUAUUCAUAAAAGGAAGUUGAAAACAGUAUAAACAUCAUCAAUUAAACGCAUACCAGUUUGACAAAUCAAUAUAUAUAACCCAUCACAAAACCCUAAGAAACUAACCGGAAGAAGAGGAGCAAGCUUGAUUGUUUUGAUUUACUUGAGCAGCAACUUCUUGUUCUGGUUCUGAUUCAGAUUCUUCCGAGGCUUCCACUUCAAGUUCAGAGUCCGAAGACGAUGAAGAUGAAUCCGACACAUUAUCUUUGUCCGCAUGUUCAAAUUUAUAAAACCUCCUCUUUAUCAUUUUUUUUACAAAAUUUCUGGAUAUUGUGAUAACAUAAACAAGGUUAAACGAGAGUGCAUAAAUCUAUAUCAAGGGAUUAAAAUUUUUUCCUAUAAUGAAUCGGCGAAUUCGUAUUUCAAAUAUUCGAACCGUUUUCCAAUUUUUUGGGCUAAAUAUCAAUACUUUUACUGGUAAAUUAGUAAAGCGGGAGAAAUCAAACAAAGGAUUUUCAAUUUACGCUUAAAGCUUUCCAAAUCAUUCAUUUAUAAAGAUAUUUAUGGAAGAUAUUAAAAUAAACGGAGUGCAUAAAUUUCCUGAAAGUCAAAAUGAAUGGGAAAGCUUACGCAGAGAUGGCGACGGCCUCAGGCAGAAAUUAGAUUAUUGAGCGUUGCAGGGUUUUAGGUUAAAGAGGAAGAAAGAGUUUAAACAUGAAGAAUUCAAGUGUGAAGUUUGGGCCUUAGAUCUGCACCGAAUCCCAUCUUCUUCAAUGACCCAUGAAAUUAGAGGCGUCUAUGGGCUGACCUCGGUUUCUAACUUUUAAAUAUCUUUCUUUAGUACGAGUCUGUUGGUGGUUGGUGUUACGCUAUUAAUUUCAUUUUUUUUACUUUUUUUUUCAAGGCUUAAGAAUAAAAAAAAUUAGUAAAAAACUAAAAAAGUAAUUGUCCUUAUAAAAAAAAAAUACUAAUUUGAGUCUUAAUUGACCUUAAAAGAAAUCAAUUAAUCCCUUUAGUUAAUAGAAACUGUCAGUUAAACUUUUAAUCUCGUUGAUGUAAAUUUUUUAAAAAUAAUUUUACAAAAAAUUAAAAAUAAUUAAAAUAUACAUGUAGAAUGAAUUUGAAUAAAUUAUUGUCUAGAUUCAUUUGAUUCUCAUGUAAAACUAAAAAAACUUAAAAAAUUAUUUUAAAAAAAUUCUAAAAUAUAUAAUAAAUUUAGAAUCAGUUAUUAAAAUUACUUAUUUUAUUUUGACAAUGAAGCUUAUUAUAAACUUAGGCACCACCUUGAUCAAAACCUUACUGUUGGCGUCUUUAAUGUACUCGAAAGGGCGAGCACCGAAGUUGAUGGGGGAAAGUUUAGGGCUAGACUAAGAGUUCAAAGCUGCAAGAGAUGAAGCUAACAAAACAUUGCAUGCAAAGCGAUCGAGAGGGGGGAACAAAGUAAGUUUGGCCAGGCAUGAGACAACUCGUCCAUGGAUAUAGUUGGGAUAAGGUGACCAUGGAGAAAGAGUCUGCAUGGCAAACCAUCAUGUCGACGAACUCAAACAUGACCUCGCCAGCAAUAUGUUUUUCGUUUAGGGUUCUUGUAUUUCCUUCCCUGAAGAAAAAGACAUCAGGUUUUGAAUUGGUUGGAAACAUGGAGCUACUGAACUGCCCAUUAAUUUAUAUAUAGAUAUAGAUAUACAGAUGAGGAAAUGUGGGAAAAAAUGAUAUAAAAUAAAGAGAGAGAGAGAAGGUUAGAGAUUGAUCAUUGUAGAUAUACUAAAAAAGAAAGCAGACAAGAGGAAGGGUUUUGUAGUUUAUGUCAGAAAAGAAAGGUGAAGAAUUGACUUGGAGAAAGUCCUCUCCGAGUCCAUUUUUAUUUUGUUGCAGUUAGAACUCAUCUUGGCCGGACAACCGUCGAAGCUUGACAUGUGAUACGGUUUUGAUAAAAAUAUAAAUCCAAAAAUUGAGCUUUGGACAAAAAGUAAAAAAAUAUAUGUGUCGAAAUCGUUUUUUUUAAAACAAAAAUUUUAGUUUCGACUUAAAAAUAAAAAUUGGAGUCAUCACCGAUCAAACCCGAUUUACCUUUGUAUUUUAGAAAUUUCUCUGUGUUUUUUUGCUUCUAUUUUCGUAUUUUUACACCGAAAAUUUUCUUCCCUUCAAUGCAAAAGAUCGGCUGUUUUAUAGCCCAAAAAAUAACCUAUUUCCUUGUUUUUUUGUUGUUUUACAUUGUUUGGACUCUUUAAAAUCCGUCUUUCAGGUGAUCGUGGGAGCACACGCGGGGAAGGCGCGCAAGGGGCGGCGACGAACGUGGCUGCUGUUGAAGGCGGCGGCUAGUGGUUUUCUUCUGCUUAGGGUGUAUGUUAUUUUUUGUUUUUUGGGCUAGGUUUAGUUUGGGCUUAGGUUUAGUUUAUUGGGUUUGUUUAUUUGCUUGGGCCCGGGCAUUAUUGAACUUGUACAAUAUGUUUAAACAGGUCAAAGCCUUGGAUAAAAAUUUUUAGUUUGGGCUUGGUCAAAAUUUGCUUUAAGUUUUUUUUGGUUGUUGUUUUACUGUCAUUUUGUUUUGUUGUUAUUUUAUUGUCAUUUUAUUAUUAUAUUAUUAUUAUUUUAGAGAAAUUUGCUUGUUAAAUUCCAACUAUCUCACUAUUUUAAUGUUUUUAAUUUAAUUUUGUUUUUAUAUAAAAAAUUUUAUACAAGUAGGAUAGGUCAAACUCGGAUUUAGCAUUUUUAAAUGGGCUUAAGCCUAAAACACGGUUAAAAAUUUUAUAUUGUCCAUAAAUAUUUAAUAAAAAUAUUUACGGGCUCGGUUUAUAGAAAUGAGGUCCCGAAACCUCAUUUUUUAAAACCACUUGUCUUUAGAGAUAAACCACUUGGACUUAACUAAUCAUUCAAAUAAUAAAAAUUAUCAAGUAAAAAUUUAUUAUAAUUAUAUAUCUAACUCGUAAAUAUUAAAUAAUAAUAUUUAUGAACUCACUUGUUAGAUUUGUGAUCUCGAAACCACUUGAAAACGAGCUGUUACAAUAUAUAGAUACUGCUAUCAUACGUGGUUUCCAACCCAUGCUUUGUGUUGGGUUUUUUUUUAGUUAAAUCUAUGGAGUAAAAAAAAUUAAAGGUUAUAAUAUGUUUCAAGUUUCUAAACUUUUUGUAUAUUUGGAAUAUAGUCCCCAUACUUUUACUUCUAGGAAUUUAGUCCUUUUGCUUUUCAAAUUUAAAAAUUCAAGUUCAAUUGUUAACAUCGUUAAAGUUUGGCAGUUACAUUAGUUAGUGUGAGAUUCUGAAACUAAAAAAAAAAAAUCUCUUGGUAGACAUAUAAAUGGCAAAAAAUGAUAUUUUAAUGGACUCGAAUUUAACAAAUCUUAAUAUUCACAUUAGCAUUUUAAUUAGAAUAAAGUACUUAGAUUUACUAAUGAUAUUAUAAAAAUUGAGAUAUCAAAUUAUAUUAAAAUCUCAAAUUUAAGCAUAAUAUAGGAACUAAAAUUAAAAUUUGGUCAUUGAUCUAUAAUCUUAAAAAAAGAAGAGGGAUCAAAAUUAAAAUUUUUCUAUUAUCCUAUAAUGUAAAAAAGGUGGAUAUAUGUCCCAUAGAAAGGCCUUAAGGUAGGUAAAAGUACCAUGGAGACCGUUAUACUAGAAAUUGGAUUACGUUUUGUCUUCUUUACACAAAAAAUGGAAAAAAUUAACUUUGUAUGUUAUAUCAAAGAGCAAUUUGAUUCUUUCGUUAAAAAUUCCAUCUAUUUUUACCAUUAAGUAAUUAUAUGAAUGAUGGAGCAAGUAGGCAGUGACACAUGACGUGUCACAUGUACAUCAACAAAUAUUUAAGAAAAUAAAAAAUCCUAAUAAAUAAAAAGAAUUAAUAAUUAUUUAAAAACCACAUCCAAAAUAACAUGGACAAAGCCUAGAGAGCCAUUUAUCCAAGGAUGUGCUUUUUCAAAUAAUUAUAAAAUAUUAAAAAAAUUAUUAAGAAUUAUAAAAUUAAAAUAACUCAAACCAAACCAUAAAUUUGUAACUUUCCUUUUGUGAAUGAAGAGUAAUUAUAUUUCGUGUCAUUGACCAUAUUCCCUUUUAUCCAAAUCUGUAACAUUUGUUCUCAUAUUGAUCCACUUAACAAUACACAAUAUGCGAGGCAAACAAUUCCUUCCAUUAAAUUUUACUUGAUUUUUCCACUUAUUUGUUAUUUUAAUUUUUUAAUAUUUAUAGUAAUUCAUCAUAACAAUUAUUAAACCUUUAAAUAAGUUGUAAAUUGAUGAUGAUAAUUAAUUUCCAAAUAUUUAUUGUAAUUUUAAAUGUUUUUAUUAAAUUUUAAUAUUUUUUUAUAAUUAUUUAAAAGCUUCCAUUGAAGAUAAAUUUUCCAUGAUGAUGAACCUAGACAACUUUUUUUUUCAAAUGUUUAUUAAAAAUUUUAUUUAACUUUUAGGUUCUCAUUUAUUUUUUAAAAUAUUUAAUGACCUGAUAAAAUGCUAGUAAGGAUUAAUUUAUUCAUAUUUUCAAUUAGGAGGUUAAACACAAUCAAAUUCUUAAUAUUUCGAGCGUAGUUUCAGUAUGUAGCAGCCAUUGAUUACAUUUUGCAAUAAAUUAUUUAAAAUGAAACAAGUUCAGCACUGCUGUGAGGGCAGCGAUCAUGACAGUAUCUUUUACGUCUACCACACCACCAUAAAAAUACAAUCCGAUAUAAAACGUCUUUGCAAGACCAAUUACUAUAAUAUUUUUUUAAACAUUUUUUAUGUUUAUUUUAUAAUCCAAAAAAUAUAUUUUCUUUUCUCUGUAUUUGAAGCUUACAGUUACCCUUUCAAAUAAUAUCGUUGUUCUAUCUUUAAAAGUUUAAUGUAUUUUACCAUUACAUCUAACACUUAUUACAAUAAUAUACAUCUGCUAUGAUAUAACUAAAACAAAAAAGAAAUAUACUUUUAAAAAGUUAUUUAAUAAUUGAUAAAUAGAUUAAUAUUUAUAAAUGUUUUAACCUGUAAACAAUUUAUAGAGAAGUAUUUUGUUUUCAAUUAAUGCAUAUAUAUUACCCUUAAUUAAUGUAAAAGGUAAUUGCAAACGAUGUUCAUAUGCCCUUUUACCUUGGUGUAUUUAAAGACUGAUAUGAUAGAUUAAAGAAAAAAACUUGCAUGACUUAAAUAACAAAUGCUACAACUGGAGUUCAUUAGCUUAUGCACCAAGAUUUACAAUAAUUAUGCACCACCAGGUCUCUGGUAGUAGGAAAACCGAUCAGAACGCCCCAGGCGGAGGUCCAUCUUGAUCUGCCGCGAAAUGCAUGAGAACUGACUUGGAACCAGGAGAAACCCUAAUGACUGUGGGCUAUCAACUCGUUUUGGAGUGCUCUUUGUGAAGGACUGUAAUCUAAGAUUACUUACAUCAGAUGGAGCUUUCACAGUUAGUUCAUAGAAGAAACCUCUCUCCGUUGAGGGCCCAAUCCGGCUCAAAGUAACUACAUUCCCCAAAUUCUCAACCUUGUUGUGAAGAAUGAACAAAGAACCAUCUGUCUCCUCUCGAAGAAUAAGGAACUUCUCAGAAACUCCUAAGGUAAUGGGUGCUAGACGAUCAUAAAGGAAACGUGUUGCAGAAUACUUGUGUACAUUGCCAAAGUGUGCACUUAACUCCUCUGAUGAACCCUCAAAGUUGCAAUCAGGAAGGGGGCAUGAACAUGGCGCGAAAAGGCAUGCCUUUCCAUGUUUCUGCUUCAUGCUAUAACUGAAUGCUUCUUUGCACCCGUACUUUGUGUUUUGGCAUGUCACUUUGACAGAUUCCAACACCUUCUCAAUCGCCCUGCAGCGACUAUAGCCGAUUGGAGUCAUACAGGAUGGACAUCUAUUCCUCAUUUUGAUGCAACAGGUAGAGCAAGCUAUAUGCCCAUUCUCACACUGAAUUGCCAAUCACAGACAUACAGAUUGAUCAGGAUGCAUUUAAUAUAUGAAAGAAUGAAUAAUAUCAUUACAAAAAUAUGGGACUUAUUUGAUAUUUCAAUUCUAUUAAUUUCAUGUGUGCUGUCAAUGAUAUCCUUUGAUCAGACAAUGCCAAAUCCACACACCAAAACAACCUCAAGUUCAAAAGGAUAAAAGAAGUACAAAUUUUUCAUACUAAACCACGACAGAUCUUUUGUUGGACAUCAAAGAUUGGCCAUUCAAGGGAUCCCCACAAGAAGCUAAGUAUUAUGCAUUAUAAAAGUCGUGGUUUUUUAUUUAUAUUCACAAAUUCCAGAGUGAACUGGUACAUGGCGACAAGUAAAAGAGGUCUUGAAGUUUAUACGUACAUGUCCAAGUAUGAACAGCACAUUAAAACUCACAAAUAGCUUCCCCAUCUAUGUUACUAGGACUCGUGUGAGUGUCAAAUACAAGUAUCUGUUCAAUUUCUUAGUUUUUCCAUAUGUAUGGAGAGUCCUCAGAGGGUCAUAUCCCCAUACCUAUAUCCAAAAACGUGGGUGCUUCAAUAAACCUAAAGAGUCAAAACAACAUAGUUCCCCAUCACCUUAAGAGGAUAGAAUCUCAAAGGGGUCAUCCUUCCUCUUUCUACUACUUGUUCAAAUAUUGGCAACACUUCUAGGAAAACACUCUUGCAGGAGCCAGAAUGCGUUAAUUACACGGUAAAAGAGAAAUAGGAAUGACCUAUUCUUCCAUUAUUGCUUAUACCUAGAGAUGCAACCAAGAUCACACCAUUUGAAAAAGGUUACCAGCCUACUAAAUAUCACUAUAAUGCUCUAACUCUUCAUUUUAUUUUUCUUUAGGUACUCGUGUCUGACAUGUAUUUAAAAAGAGUAUAGGGAUAUGACCCACCAAGAACCCUUCAAUUACAUAGAAAACCUACAAUGCAUUUCGAAACGGUUAUUUCCCCUUACAAAUUUAAAUAACGAACAAGAAAUAUGCAAAUUCUACAUAAUUCUCAUGAUUAUAUCUAUAAAUUUACAAAUCAUCCUCAGCCAUUGAAACUAACAAUCACUUGUAUGCUUUUUCAUCGGCCAUAUCCUUCCCUUCAGCAGUCCAUUAAAUAAGAACAGACCAUAAACGUCAAGCCUAGUAUGCAUUUAUAGAAUUGAAGCAGAAAUUACAAUGCAGCAAUUCUCAGAACAACGAUUUCACUUAUUCCCCCCCCCCCCGGACAAACCCUUAUGGGGAACAAGAAAUAUGCAAAAUGAACAUCAUUCUCAUUAUUAUAUCUAUUAACUGAAAUACUAUCCUCUGUCACUAAAGCUAACAAUCACUUAAUGCCUCUUCAGCAACCAUAUAGUUCCUUUCAGCAGUCUAUUAAAUAAGAACAGACCAUAAACUUCGAUUCUAGUAUCCAUUUCUAGAAUUUAAGCAGAUUUGCUAAAUCAAAGAACCUUAACUUCAUAAAAGAAGGAACAAAUCAACAAUACCAACUAAUAAAUCGAAGUUCAAUUCUAAGUAAGUUCUAUCCAAUCACAGUCCUCAAAUCAAUCUUCAAAGUUUUGCAUCAAUAUCUAGUGCUAAUGGAGAUAUCUAAGAGAGGACAAGUCUAAAAGAAAAACACAACGAAAAAUGAUUUAGAACAUCUAUUUGAAACCAAAACCAAGAAAUUAAACAAAUUUACAAGCAUUUCAGCUUUUCACCUACAAGGAAAAGAACCACAGGUGCAAAUUAAAGGGAAAAAACUGAAAAAAAAAAAUUUGAUGCAAAAAUUUGAAGCCUUUUAACCCAAAAAUUAAAACCCACUCCAAAAAUCCAAUCUUUUCAGCGUAAAAGAAAGAAAUUGAACGAAAAUUGAACUUUUUUCACCAAAUAAAAAGAAAACCAUAUCCAAAAUCACCUGAUAACCGAUUAUUAAACACCAACCUGAAAAACAGGGAUAGUCAAGGCCUCAUAACAGAUAGAACAAUCAAGAACUUCAGGGUCAGUUAACGUGAUAGAAAUGGAUCCAUCUCGAGAAGUCUGAGGGCUCAUUGCUCCUUGCUCAGCUCCACUUUCCUCCAAUUCUUCUUCUCCUUCAGAUUCUUCGGAAGCUUCUUCUUCUCCUUCGGAUGCUUCUUCGCCUUCAGAUUCUUCGUCUUCUUCCUCUUGCUCGGAUUCUUCUUGACCAGAGCCUUCGAUAUCAAGAACACGCUCCGCCCUUUGACGCUUAGGGACUCGAUUGCUUGGCCCUUCUCCGUCUUCGUCGAUCCCCACAGAGAACUUUGCCAUUCUCUUUUAUUUUUUUCUCUUUCGCCCUGUACUUUCUUUUUAUUUUACGCUUAUUAGUCUUUUCCCCUUUAUUUUAUUUUAUUUUAUUUUAUUAACUUGAAUAUUUUUUUGAAUAAAAUUCGAAUACACCUAAAAAUUGUUAAGAUUUCCAUUUGAAUUAUUAUUUUGGAGUUUUUAAACUUCAUUACACCAUAAUUAAAUGUUUUAUUAAUUAGUUUUAUUAAAUUUUGUAACCAUUUUUAUUGAAAUAUUAACUUUCAAUAAGAAUUUAUUAUAUUAUUUAAGAAUUUUAAAAUUUUCAGAAAAUUUAUAUUUUACAUUUAGAUACGUUUUAAUUAAUUUAUUUAUUUUUUAAAAUAAUUGAUAAACUUUCUUAUGUUUUAUUACCCAUCUAAAUGACAAUGAAAUUAGAACAGUACUUCCUCAAACUAGAGAGUCUUUUAAGAUAAUUUAUUAGAAUAUUUUUGUUAAUAUUCAUUCUAAAUUUUGUAGAAUUAUUAUAAUUUUUAUAACAUAAAUUAUCAGAAUAUUCUCUAUGCACCAUAUAAGUGCAUUACAAAGUUAACUAUACUAUCCGGGUGUAGCUAGGGCUCGCAGGGGCUCACCGCUUAAAAUAAAAAAAAUUUCAUUUACCUUUUUCAAAAUUUUUAAAAAUUUUAAAAAUUAUAUCUUAACCUCUUAAAAAUAAUAAUUUAAUUUUUAAAAAAUUAUAAAAAUAUAACUUAUUAAAAUAAUAAAAUUAGAUAAAAACUAUAGUUUAAUUCCCACAUCUAAAAAUAUAUUUCCUUUCAAUUAGAAGAGAUUCACGAAAAAGCCAAUUGCAAAAAAUGGGCUAAGAAAAAGUCAAGGGCUAAAGCCGACCAAUAUCAAGAUUCCGAAACCUCUGGCUAGUAGCCACAUCAUGCCAUUGCCUUGAUAGAGAGGAAGAGGAAAGAGCACCCAUAGAAAAUCAAGUGCAAAGUCGACGUAAUUGACCAACGGCAUGCAUAGCCUCCUACAUGCACGCCUCUGUCGGAGGCUAUGCCACUACGAAACCCCCCAAAAGAGGACGUCAAAACCUCCAAAAAGAUCAGCUAAACUCCAGCGGAAGCAAGAACCAAAACCAAUAUAACGACUAUGAUAGUCAUCAAAGAACAUAUUCCGAUGCGAUCACUUCAGCCACUGUCAAGAAAUCAAUCGGCAAUAACUCAAGAGGACGCCGACGUCAUAUCCUCAUGAACGCAGGAGGUCUUCGCUAAAAGGAGAAGCCAAAGAAAAAUCUAGCAAACCCAAAAGCCUUGUCAAAGACCAAAGGGCUAACAACAAAGCCAUGGUAUGAACCAUGGAGCAACAAGACCCAUACUUCCUCUCAUUCUGGCCUAAGGUUGAACAAAGAGAAAGAGAGAUCUUGAGGCUAUUAUACCGAAAGCAUAAUAAAAAUAUGAGAAGAAAAUAAAAUAAAAAGAUAAGUGGAAAAGAGAGUGGCACUGGCAUGAGAAGGAUGAGUGACGGCUCAUAAAGAAAUCCAAAAGUUAAAACUUGGCUUUUUUCAGAUAUAACCCAAAUAAAUUAAUUAUUUAUAAAUAUAAUUCCCUUUUAAAAUUUAAUGAAAAUAACCUUUUGAACAGGGAUCUCAGUGUCGCUCUUGCCAUUAGCGGCACCACCUUUCAUAAUGGGCUAAUUAUUGGUUGAUUUUAUUAAAACAUUUUGAGUAUUGUUGAUGCUAUUAACGACACCAGACUGAAGUGUAAUUAUAUAAAACAUUUAGGGACCUGAUAAAUUAAUUAUCCUUUUAGAUUGGAUGAAAAGAAGGGCCGCAUGCACCAAUUAAAUCAAAUUUAUCCCCUUUUAAAAUUAAAUUUAAAUGCUCCUUAAGAAUAUAAGAUUAACAAAAAUAAAUCAUUUUCAAUUUUUAUUACUUUUUAAAAAACAAUAAACUUAAAAAACUAUAUAAAAUUCUUAUUUAAAUUCCUCAAAUAUAUCCCUCAAAACUUGAAAAGUAUUUGGAAACCGAUCUCAAUUUCAUCUUUCUAGAGUUCUCUAUUAUCUAUAAUUAUAGAAAUUUUAUACCAAUUUCGAAAUAUUUAUACUUUAGUCUCUAUGUUCAAAAACUAGUAAUUCAACUUUACAAAUUAGUUCUUUUUCAUUUCUAAACUUGAAAUUUAAUAAAUUAACACCAAAAACUUCAAGCAUUCAUCAAUAAUAAAUUUUAAUGAUUUUAACAAUUUUAAAAAAUCAAACACAAAUUAAUUAAAUCGAGAUUUUAUGACGUCAAAAAUAUAAAAUUUACGAAAAACUAACCAAAUUAAGCUUACGAAGCGGAACCUUUAAAGUUUCUUCAUUUCUUUUGAUAGUUUCGGUGGAGAAUAAAGAAAAUUACAUGGAUGACAACAUUUCCAUUUUAUGUUUUAUACAUAUAUUAUUAGUUUAAUUAAAAAAUAUAAUAUUAUUCUAUCCAUUCAUUAACAAACCGUCCACUAAUAUAUUAAAGUGGACUAAUUGCCACCUUAAUCUUUAGUUUAAUUACUAUUUUAGUCCUUUCGCAAUUAAAAAUUUUUAGUGAUUAACUUUUACUAUUUUUAUAAUUUAGUCCUUGUACAUUAAUUAGUCACUAAUUCGGCAAAAUUACUUCUCCAAAAUUUAAUUCACUUGUAUAAUAACUCUAUAAAUAUUUAAUAAAAAUAUUUACGAGCUCGGUUUACUAAAACAAUGUCUUGAUACAUCAUUUUUUGACAUCACUAACUUUAGGAUCGUUACACUUGUACCUUAGUUAACUAUCCAUUCAAUAAAUUUACUAGACCAAAAUUCAAUAUAAUACCAUAAAAGACUCAUAAAUAUUAAAUAAUAAUAUUUACGGACCUGAUUAUCAAAAAAUAAAGUUUCAAAACUACCGUUCCCAGUACCAGUGAAAAAUAGGUUGUUACACAACCUACCUUAUGGUCAAAUCACAUUUAUAUAAUUCUAUUAACCUAACUCAAAUUUUCAAGACAGACAUUUGGAUUAGUCAAUUUGCAUCUCAAACUAGCACCGCAUUGCAUCAUCAGAUAAAUCGAAGGAAAUAUACUGGCACACAUAGUGCAUCAUCAGAUAAACCAAAGUAGUUAUACCGCGCAUAGUGCAUCAUCGGAUAAACCGAAAGAUGAAUACUGACACACAUAAUGCAUCAUCGAAUAAACCGAAGGAUGAAUACUGACACACUAUACUAACACACAUAGUGCAUCAUCGGAUAAAUCGAAGCAGUUAUACUGACACACAUCAUUGGAUAAACCAAAGUAUAGACUGGUACAUUUAAUAGAGCAACCAAUUUCCAAUUUCAUCACAUAGUUCAAUUCAACAUCAAUUCAUCAUAUAAUAUAACAUAAUUCAGCUCAAUUUCAUACCAAUUUCCUAUAUCAGUUAAGUCAUACAACUUUUUAUUCUAUUCAAUUUAGUUCAUGUCUUAAUAUUCAAUAUCAACCAUAGCAUUUCAACUUAGUAAUCAUUAAUAACUCACCUCAAUACUAUUUAAUGCAAUAUGUCAUGAAUAUGCAAUAACUAGAUUAGUCUCGAGUUAUAGAGAUGCAAACCGAAAGCUCACACGUCACUUGUCGUCAACUCUUGUUUUUCCUUCCUCUAUUGAUGGUCUUACAUCGUCUUUAGCUAAGAGUAAUAGUUUAAUAAUAAUACAGUAUCAAAUUCCAAGAAAAUCAUAAUUAAAUACUAAAUCUCACACAUUUUUACAAAUUAUUCAAUUUAAUCUCUAAAAUUGAAACAAACAUAACUUCCAAUUCAGAGCCUCGAAUUAAAACUCAAUUUCACCAAAACUCAUUAGGGAUUUUCAAAUAUUCAGAGCCUCUAUUUUCUAUCCCUACCGACAAUUCUUGACAAUUUUUUAUUUUAUUCAAUUUGGUCCCUAAUAUACAAAAUUAACCAUUAAGGCUUACAAUUUAGUCAUUUUCACAUAUUAAUCUUAAUUUCUAACAAUUUGAUACCUAAAUCAUUCAAUACUCAACAAUGAAAACUUUCAAAAACUUUAAUAGUUUUGCAAACUGGUACACAAGCUAACUAAAUCAAGCUCCCAUGACCUCAAAAAUAUAAACAUUAUAAGAAAAUGACUUAAUUGAACACACCUAUGGAAGGGCUGAAUAUCAAAAGCUUCAAGGGUUUUCUUUCUUUCAAACCUUCGACCAAGUGAAGAAGAUGAAGAAAAUAUAUCAUCUUUUUCUUUAUUUUGUCUUAUAUAGUAUAAUUAAAUAUUAAUUAAUACAAAUUGGUUUAAUCACCAUUUGGGACAUUUGGUUAAUUGUAAUUUAAGUCCUUAAAUAUUUGGCUAAUUAAAAACUUAUAGCAAUAAGACUUUUUACAAUUUAGUCAUUCUACCUUAAUUAAGCAAUUAAUAGACAGAAGUGAAUGAUCAAACUUUAAUAUUCUUUUAUACUAACUCUGUAAAUAUUUUAAUUUAAUAUUUACGGACUUAAUUUAUGGAGACGGGAUCCCGAAACUGUAUUUUCUGACACCACUGACUUUCGGGUCGUUAUAGAAUGUGGAUUAUGUUGGGCCAAUCCUCUCAUCUUGCUUUCUUAUAUCGUCUUUCUAGAUGUGGGUAUCUUUUGAUCCUCAGCCUUUUCAAAUUCGUGAGGCUCUGUACCCCUCGAGACAACGACAUCAAAUUAAGACAUGCUUAAUCUCAUUGAAGUAAGGUUAGGUGUUGUAUCUCAUUUGGGAGAGAAAUUACUCUACCACAAUUCCAAAUACUCAGAGAUCGAAGAGAAGAGAGAUGUUGGAUACUUUCUGGCAAUGAAGUUAACUUUGGACAUUCAUUGAUAAGCAAGUCUUAAAGUGAAGUUAGAUAUCGCGACCCCUAAAAUAAAGAGAUUAAUUUUUUAAAAUUUUGAAUUCUUAACGAAGAUGAGGAAUGUAAGCCUUGCAACCCAUUUACUGGUAAAAGGCUGUCACAUUGACUUAAACGCAAAGUUUCUAAAGAGUUGAGGUCUUGUAGUCUUGCUCCUAACAUUGGAAACACAAGUGUAUAAGGGUGGAUAGAUUAUUUGGCAGAUUACAUGAAGACUUUAAAGUAGUUGACACAAUUGUCAAGCUGUCAAGGUGCUUCUGAUUCUACAAUAGUCCAUCUAGUAAAUCUGUCAACUCAUAGAGUUCUCAAAUCUCGAGAUAUGUAAGAAUAGUGGUAGUCAUCAUCAAUGAUUUGAGUAAAGUAACAUUAAUUCCUCCAAUUUCUAGCUUUUUCAGAGAUUAAAGAAUUGGCAUCUUAAUUAACUAGGACUACUAUAGAUAGUUAAUGAACUUAAGAGAGGAAAAUGUUCUCCACCAUUCACUGUUGUCCAUUCCUCCAAACAUGGUGCCCCACGUAUUUUGAAAACCUCGAGUAAUGGAAAAGAACUUCCCAUAUCUCCAUAGAAGCUGCUGCCAAUAUGCUUCAAAACAUCCAUUCUCCUAAUAGUAAGCACCUUAAGAAAGCGUAAUUUCCCUAGACGUGGAAGUUGAUCGCAUCUUUGACAAUAUUCUAGUGAGAUUUCAACAAGGUUUGGUAGAAGCAGAUCCAUCAUCUAAGACGAGAACCUAAAACAUUGGUAAUCAUCUAGGUGUAACUUCUUCAAGCUAGAAUGAGGUUGGAGAACAUCAAGAAUCUCUUCAUCAUUCCCAUGUUUACAAUGAGGUUUUUCAUCUCUUUAUUCGCCAAUAUAAGCUUAAUGAUAUUAAAUUUUUCUUCUUUAUCAAAUUGGAAUUUUUAGCUUCGGUUAAAAUCUUCACAUUCCCAAGUCCUACGAUGCUCAAUUCCCCAUCUAGGGCCAACUCUUUCAACUCAUCAAUGCCACAACCAUUGUCCUUUCCCACAACGAACUUGCUAAGAUUACGCAGGUAAGACAAUUGUCCCAAUCCAACAGGCAUAGAUGCCUGUGCAUCACACUCUCUGAGGUCCAAGUACCUAAGGUUUUUCAAGUGCUUCAUACAUUUUGGUAACAUUUUAAGUUUAUAACACAUUUGUAAAAUUAGUGUCUAUAAGUUAUGAAGGGAGCUUGUUGAUUCAGAUAUAGCUUUCAUACUAUAAUUACGAAUGUGUAAAUACCUCAGCUAUUUCAAACUUUCAAAUGCAGUAUUGCUAAGAGAAUAGAUACCCUAGACCUUCAGAUACUUUUGUUUAUUGAAGAAAUGUGAAGGACUAGAGAGGUUACCGCGAAAGAUGUGUUGACACCAUUUUUUUUAUAAAACGGGGUCGACUUGAAUUUUAAAAAUGAAAGCGAAUAUGGGAGUCGCCACCAAUCCUUUUUAAUAAGGUGUGAUCGGGCCACCUUGAAAGUGGUUGUUUUUAAUAAACGAUUUGAUUUUAUUAAAACAACGAUUUUGGUUCAUGAAAUUUAGAAAAAUGGGUUCGGGAGUCGGUUACGUACGAGGAAGGAUUAGCACCCUCGUAAUUCCCAAAAUUGGUACCUAGUUGAUUAAUUAAUGUCUUAAUGUAGAAGAUUGAAAACUUUAAAGAGAUUUAAAGUACGAUCCUUAAAAAAACUCGAAUGACAUGAAUUGAGAUUUAAGAGGAUAUUUAGCUAUUUGGUUAAACGAGAAAUCAAAAUCCAGCACAUUAGGGCACGUUCCUCGAAUUUCCAAACGCAAAAUAUUAUCUUACUUUGAAAUUUUAAAAGGAUACUUGGCUAUUUGGUCAAACGAAAAAAUCGAAACCCAGCACAUUAAGGCACGUUUUCUCGAAUUUCCAAACGCAAAAUAUUGUCUUACUUUGAAAAAUUUUCCUUUUUGAAGCAUGGUGUUAAUAUGCAUAAUGGAAUAAUAAAUAUGAUAAUAUGAAUGAAAAUAAUAUGAGCAAAAAUGAAAAAAAAAAGAACAAAUCAAUCAUGUAUAUACAAUAACAAGUAAAUAAAUAAAAACUAAAACAUUAAAAAAAUGGACAUAUGAAUAAUUAAAUAAAUGAACAUAAAGUAAAAAAUAAUAAUAACAAUAAAUAAAAUAGAUAAAAAUUAUAAAAUAUGAAAAUAUGUAUGUACAUAUAAGGGAAAUAUAUAUGUAUGUAUAUACAUAAAAUUAUAAAAAUAUGAAAAUAUAUAUACAUGUUUUAAAGUUAUUAAAUAUAAAAGUUUAUGUAGGUAUAUAUAUACAUGUAUAUGUAUAUAAAAAUUAUAAAAAAAUAUAUAAGUAUGUAUAUAUAUGUAUUCGUGAAAGGAAAAAAAUGUAUAUGGAUAUAUAUAUAGAUAUGUAGAUAAAUUAUAAAAUAUAUAAAAAAUAUGAGUAUGUAUGUAUAUAUUAAAUAAGUUAUAAAAUAUAUAUACACGUACAUAUAUAAGCAAUUAUAUAAUAAUAAGAAACAUAUAUUGAUUUUAAUAAUAAAAUAAACAAAAUAACAAAAAAAGGGCCAAAUUAGAUUUUAAAACAAAAUUCGGGGCCAAAUCUAUAAAUAAAUAAAAGAGGCGGGACUACAUUGAACGUGCGAAUAACAUAGAGGGGCUGGAAGGGCAAUUUUCCCUUCUCCUCUAAAACGGCGUCGUUCGAAUAGUACUAAAUUGAAAUCGGAAAUAAACUAAAGGGGCAAAUUUAGAAAUACAAAAAAACCUGAUUGAGAAAACAUUAAAAAGCGGAGGGGUUAAAAGCGCAAUUUACCGCUCCGUAUAAAAACACGCGGAUCCUAGAGCAGGCGGGUCGGGUUCGAGUCGGUUAGCCUUAAACGACGUUGUUUUGGGCGUUCUGAGGCUAGGCUAAGUCGUUUCAUACCCCUAUAAAUUCUAAGAAUUUUUACAAAAAAUUCAUUUCUUCAUUCUUUCAAAAAAAAAAACUUUCAAAACUCUCUCAACUCCCCCAUUUUCCCAGAAACCAGCUUGGGAAUCGGUCGUUGGCCACCGUGCCGGCCGCCGAUCACCGGCGCCGGCGCCGUCGUAUACAGCGGUCGGGAUCUGAAAAGUUUCCUGUUUCUCCCCAGUGCCUCUCCGAUGUAAACCCUCGGUUUCCAGACUCUCCGGCGACGACCAAAAGAAGUAAAAUGCUUCUUUUUAUUAUUUUUCUUGUUUCGAAAUAAAAAGAAAAAAUAAUAAUAACAAUAACUUAAACGAAAUAGCAAAAUCACCUUCAAAUUUUAUUACUUAUUUGUUCUUCUUUCUUAAAAAAAUUGUAACCCUAGUAACAGUAUUUUUCUGGGAUUUUAUAGCUGAAAGAAAGAGGAAAAACAUGAUUUAUUUUUUUGUUUCUGCUUGCUUGUUUGCCAUCUUCUUUGCAGGUGAGUGAUGUGACGAUGGCGGUGGAGUUGGUGGCUACCAGAGGAGUGGCACUAGCAAGUCGGCGGUAGGUCAGGGCAAGUGGGCGAUAGGACGGUGCGGUGUCUGAGCUAGGGGGCAGAAGGCUGUGGCGCUAGGGUUUUAGAAAAGCUGAAACCCUAGUUUGACCCUUGACACUUGGGCUUGGGUCUGUUGGGUUGUUUUGGGCCUGUUGGGCUUCGGGUUUUGGUCUAGACUAUUGGGUUUCUGGUUGUAAUUGGGUAUCUGGUAUUGGGCCAUGGAUUGUUUUUGGGUUUGUUUAGGUUAGGUUUAGUUUGGUUUGGGUUUUGGGCCUCGGGCUAAAAUUGGGCUUGUACAAGAUGAACUUACUGAGACUUGAGCAGCAACUCGUGUCAUGUAAAUCCAACGAUCCUCAAGAAGGAAUAAAUCUAUUUGUGUUGCUGUUAAGAACAAAAAGCAAGUAAGUUAACAGAGACUUAAGCAGUAAGGCUCGAGGCUUGCGAAGAAACAAACAGGAAUUCAAUACAGAAAAGAAAGUAAAAGCAAAGAAAAAUAGAGAGUAUAUGGAAGGAAAUGUGAUUGAAUUCAUUCAACUAUAAUAAUGGCAUAAAGCCAAUACAUAAACCAAGCAUUUAGCUUGUCAAAAUCAGUAUAUGUUCACUUAAUCAAUACCUACUACAACUAAUACAUUGUAACUUGAAAACAAAGCUUGUACACAUAAACAAAGCUGAGUUAACAGCUCAUUCACUAUCAAAUUACAUCAAGCAUCAACCUAACAUAGAUCAAAAUGAACUUGAGUACAUUUCAUCAAACUAUGGUUACAAAAUGAACAAAAAAAAGCAACUGCACUUGCUUCAGCAGCUUCUGUAUGGCUCGACUUGUUCUUGACUGCUCCUGGUGUUACAUGCUGACCAAAGUUCAACACUCCUCUAUUUCCCUAACAACAUGGAGUUUAAUAUUGAAGUGCUUUGUCCUUCCAUGAAAAACUGGAUUCUUAGCAAUUGCAACAGCAGAUUGAUUAUCACACAUAAUCUUUGUUGCUUCCCUUUGGUGAAGAUUCAGAUCAACCAAGAUCUUUCUUAGCCAAAUGGCUUGGUUGACAGCUCUUGCAGCUGCCAUAUAUUCUACCUCAGCAGUAUAUUAAGCAACAAUAUUUUGCUUCUUCAAACUCCAAUAAAAAAUAGCUGAUCCAAGUGUGAAAACAUACCCUGAUGUGCUUUUCAUGUUAUCCAUCAAACCAACCCAAUCACUAUCAGUAUAGCUAACCAAUUUCAGACUUUCAGCUUUGUUAUACAUCAUUUCAUACCUUAAGGUACCUUUGAUGUAUCUGAGCACCCUUUCUGCUGCUUGAAAAUGCUUCUCAUUGCAACAAGGCAUGAACCUUGAAAGCAAACUUACAACAAACAUUAUGUCUGGCCUAGUGGUGUCAAGUAUAGCAAACAACCAACUAGGCUUCUGUAGGUUGAUUCACAAAUCUUUUUAAAAUCACCAUGGCUCGAUAGUUUUUCUCUAAUAGCAACUGGAGUGUUAGUUGCUUUGCAGUUUUGCAUAGAGAACUUGGUCAGAAUCUUAGAGGCAAAGGCCUUUUGACUUAGGAAUAUCCCAUUCUGUGUUUAUCUCACCUCCAUGCCAAGAAAAUAAGUCAUCCUUUCUAGAUCAGACAUCUCAAACAUCUACUUCAUUUGGGUUUUGAAAUCGAUUAGCAUUGCUUGGUCUCUGCCCGUCACCAGCAGGUCAUCAACAUACAAGGAUACAAUGAGCUGAACCUGGACUUCAUCCUUCUUAACAUACAAUUUUGGCUCACUAAUGCUCAUUUCAAAUCCAAAACUGACCAAGUAGCUAUCGAUCCUACUAUACCAGACCCUAGGUGUCUGUUUUAAGCCAUACAAGGCUUUCUUUAGUUUGUAAACCAUAUCUACUUUACCAGCCACUUUGAAACCUUGAGGUUGUUUAACAAAGAUCUCCUUUUUAAGAAAUCCAUUGAGGAAGGCUGACUUCACAUCAAGCUGAUAAAUUUUCCACUGCAUUUGUGCUGCUAAGGCAACUAGCAGUUUGAUGGUGUCAAGCCUGGCCACUGGUGCAAAGGUCUCCAGAUAGUCUGUGCCAUACUUUUGGCUAAACCCCUUCACAACUAGCCUAGCCUUCAACUUGUUCAAGCUUCCAUCAGCAUACUGUUUGGCUCGAUAGACCCAUUUCACUCCAAUAGUCUUCCUGUUGGUUGGUCUUUCAACUAGAUCCCAGUUCUGAUUUUUCUCAAUCAUGUUGAUUUCAUCUACCAUGGCUUGUUUCCAGCCUUGCUGAGCUUCAGCCUCUUCAAAGCAAGUUGGUUCGACUAUGGCUACAUGAGCUCUUUCAUAAAUCUUAGCCAAUGGUCUAGUGCCCUUGACUGGUUCAUCAUCAAUGUCCAUUUCAGGACCAUUCUGAUCAGUUUCAGCCUGAUCUGCUAUAAGUUCUUCAUAAGCUGCCUUUGGCUCAUUCUUUUCUCAGUUCCAGCUCGACAUCUCAUCAAAUACCACAUCUCUACUUACAAUUAUCUUGUUUGUUGAAGGAUUCAAAAUCCUGUACCCCUUUUUGACUAUGUUGUAGCCCACCAGAAUACCAAGUUGAGCCCUCUUGGACAACUUGUCCCUCUUUACAGCUGGAACAUGUACAUAACAUAUGCAACCAAAUAUUUUCAUGUGUGCAAGUGAAGGUUUGAACCCAAAUCAGGCCUCAAAUGGAGUUUUGGGAGCCAAAGCCUUGAUUGAGAGUCUAUUUUAGAUAUACACAACAAUGUUAACUGCCUCAGCCCAUAAGAUUUUGGGCAAAUUCUCCUCAAACAGUAGGCACCUGGCCAUAUCCAUCAAGCUCCUAUUCUUUCUUUCACUUACACCAUUCUGUUUAGGUGUAUAAGUGUUAGUAAGCUGAUGUUUAAUGUCUGCUUCAUCACAAAAGGCUUGAAACUGAGCUGAGGUGUACUCAGUUUUAUUAUCAGACCUCAGGGUCUUAAGCUUGCAGCCUGUUUCAGUUUCUGCAACAGCUUUGAACUUUCAAAACACAGAGGCAACCUCUGAUUUCUGUUUUAAAAAAUAAAUCCAGCAAAAUCUCGAGUGAUCAUCAAUAAACAAAAUGAAAUACCUGCUGUCAUUCAAUGACUGAGUCUUCAUGGGGCCACACACAUCAAUGUGCACAAGCUGCAGCCUGGCCUGCUUUCUUAGCUGACAUACCUAACAAACCUUCUCUUUUUCAACUAAUUUGAUGAAAUUCUCAACCAGAUCUUCUUUGGUUAGCUGGUCCAUUGAUUUGUAGUUGGCAUGACCAUGCCUUUGAUGCCAAAGCUUAGAUUUAUCAGAUGAGGCUGUAUAGGCUGAGUCUGAGCCAUUUAUCCAGUCAACAACAAAGCUUUUAUCAGCCAUAGUGACUAACAUGAGCUUAGAUCCAUUUGGACCACUGAUUUGGCACUCCCUACCUUUGAACACUACAGAAUAGCCUUUCUCUAGUAGCUAAGCUAUGCUGAGUAGGUUUCUAUCAAUCUCAGGAACCAAUAGAACAUUUGAGACAAGCUUGUUACCUGUGGGAGUGCAUAUCAGCACAUCUCCCUUGCUUUCUGCCUUAAUGAAAUGGUCAUUUCCUAUCUUCACCUUUGUUUUGAAGCUUCUAUCAACUGACUUGAAGAUUGAAGCAUCUGGUGUCAUGUGAUUUGUGUAACCACUAUCUAUAUAAGCCAUCCCUUUGUGACCUUAUCCUUAGUCGCUGAGCAUGAAACUGUAAAAACUUGCUCCUCAUGGUCACUACCCUCUUCUACUACUCGAGCUUCAACCUUUGGCUGUUGGGGUUGAUUCUGCCUUGGUCUGCCCUUGCUUUUGUAAACCUUUUCAACAUGACCCAUCUUUUUGCAGUAUUGGCACUGCACAUCUGGUCUAAACUAGCAAUUUGCCUCUAGAUGACCAGGUCUUUUGCAAUGCCUGUAGGGUUGGUCACUUCUUCUUGUAGCAUCUGACUUAAGCUUGUCUUUUCAAGUUUUUUUUGCCUUUAUAAGUAGAGGUGGUCGAGGCAGGUUUGGUUUUUGCUUGGAAGGUACCUUCUUGGUGCUCCUCUAGUCUGCUGGCUCUCCUUUGCUCUUGUGCAUAAAGAGCAUUGAUCAGCUCUGUCAAUAAGAUGCUAGUGAGGUUCUUUGAGUCUUCGAGAGAACAUAUUUUUGCCUCAUACCUCUCAGGUAAGGUUGAGAUCACCUUCUCCACUAUUCUUGCUCUACUGAAUUGCUCUCCAAGGAGCCUUAUGCUGUUCACCACAGCCAUAAUCCUAUCUGAAUACUGUUUGACAGUUUCUUCCUCAUUCAUUUUCAAGUUCUCAAAAUCCCUUCUCAAGUUCAAUAGCUGUUGCUACCUUGUUCUUUUAGUUUUUUGGAACUCCUCUUUUAAUCUGUCUCAGGCCUGUUUUGGUGUCUUACAAGCCAUGAUCCUUGUAAAGAUCAUAUCUAACACAGAGUUUUGAAUGUAGGACAUGGCCUUGAGCUUCUUGGUCCUUUCAUCAGCAUGCUGCUUGAUCUGAGCCACAGUUGGAUUAGCUCUAAGUGGCUCUGGUUCAACAUCAGAGUUGAUCACUUCCCAUAGGUCGAAUGCCUGCAGGUAGGUUUUCAUUUUGACCACCCAUAUGUGAUAGCCCUCUCCAUUGAAGACUGGUGGUGCAGCUGGUUAGAAGCCUGAUGAAGCCAUCAUUUUAAAUACUGAACUAUAACAGGUCCACUGAGAUUAUAGCUCUAGAUACCAAUUGUUGGUGUUAAAAAAUGCAAGCAAGUUAGCUGAGACUUAAGUAGCAAGGCUCGAGGCUUGUAGAAGAAACAAACAGGAAUUCAAGACAGAAAAGAAAGUAAAAGCAAAGAAAAAUGGAGAGUAUAUGGAAGGAAAUCCGAUUGAAUUCAUUCAACUUGAAUAAUGGCAUAAAGCCAAUACAUAAACCAAGCAUUCAACUUGUCUAAAUCAGUAAAUGGUUACCUAAUUAAUACCUACUACAACUAAUCCAUUGAAACUUGAAAACAAAGCUUGUACACAUAAACAAAGCUUAGUUAACAGCUCAAUCACUAUCAAAUUACAUCAAGCAUCAACCUAACAUAGUUCAAAAUGAACUUGAAUACAUUUCAUCAAACUAUGGUUACAAAAUGAACAAAAAAAAGCAGCUGCACCUGCUUCAGGAGCUUCUGCAUAGCUUGGCUUGCAUGGCCUGCUUCUUGACUGCUCCUGGUGUUACAUGCUGACCAAACUUCAACAAUUUGCCAUCCAUAGUCCAAUCAACUCGUCCUUUUUCAUGACAAAAUCUUUAGGAAAUAUUGAGCAAAAUGAAAACCAUUGUUUUAUAUAGGGUGGAAGAUGCUUAUAACUCAACUUCAAUACAAUCAACGUUCUUUUCCCCUCGUCUUCCAAAUCCCACAUCUCGCUAUCUUUGACACAUAACCGUUCGUUUUCCUAACUCUUGAAACACAGUAUGCUUCCAAUGGCAUUUAUUGCCAAUGGUACCCCUCCACAUCUCUGCACAAUCUGCUUCCCAAUUGUUUCAUGGUUGACAUUACCUUCAUUUAUUCCCAUUACAAAGGCUCUUUUCUUGAACGAGGACCAAGAAUCAUCAUCUGACAAACAUAGCAAGCAAUGAAAAGGGACUUUAGCCAUUAUAAAAGCAACUUUCUCAAGUCGAGUGGUGACAAUGACUUCACUUCCUCUUCGUCCACUCUGUAGCGCUUGCUUUAGUCUGUCCCAUUUGUCAUGGUAUUCAUUCCACACAUAAUCCAAUAUGAGCAAAAAUCGUUUCCCAACAAACCUCUUCAUCCACUCCAUAGCGCUUGCUUCAGUCUGUUCCACUUGUCAUGGUAUUCAUUUUGCACAUAAUCCAAUAUGAGCAAAAAUCGUUUCCCAACAAACUAUUCUACUAAGUGCCUCUGCAAGGGAUCUAGCUCUUGGAUAUAGCCUGAUUUUCCUUCGAUGGACUCCACAAUAGUUUUAGUCAACCUUUUUAUAUCAAAAUCAUCGGAUACGCAUAGAAAUAAGACAACAACGAUAACAUAAUGUUUUAAUUAACUUAAUUUAUAACUCAAAAUAAGUCAUCUAUAUUAUUGUUAUUUACAAGGGCAAAGAAAAACUCAUGAAGUUGUUGGACUCUGAUUGAGUUUUUGAUACAGCGGAAAUUUUUUUGGGUGGCUUUGUUCCAGCCCAUUUUAGAUGCAGCCAUCCUUAGCGUUUUGAGUGCUGUGAGGCUGCUUACUCGUGAAAGCAAAGACAUCAAAUUAAACCCCCACUCAAGGUUGCAGUUCUAGGCAUGGAAUGAAUAUAAUACAGAAAAAAUCAGAAGUAGCCUAAAGCGCCAUGUUCUGACUGUUAAUAAUCAAGAAGAAAAACAAAAUUUAAUGCUAAAAAGCUCCAAAAAAAGAAUACAAAGCAUCAAAAUUGGUAAUAGUAAUACUAAACAAGCCUUACUAUAUAAUUCUUAUCAACCAUAUAAAUCAUAUUGAUUUUAUAGAGUCCUUAACUGAUUGUUAAUUUUUUCAAUAAGGGCUUUUUCUAAUUAAGUCAAUCUGGCAUUUUCAAUAAGGGCAUUUUAACCCAAGAAAUGUGCUCUGCUAUAUGAUUGAUAUCCUGAAACGAAGUUGAACAAAACAGUAUUUGAUGAGCAUAAGAAUUUAGAAGUAAAAUUAUUUGACAUCAAUUUAUUCUGUCCUGGUCUUAUAGGAUAGAAAUUGCUCUAUCAACUAAAUGCAAUGUUCUUUUCUCAAAUAGCAGAACUGAGCUUUCAGAACUUUCUUGAGAGGUAACAUGCCCAAUCACCCAUCCUGUGAAUGUAUUAAGACAACCAAAUCCUAAAUUCAUCAAAUCAAACCAUUUGCGAAUGUCCAAUGAACUCUGGAUAGUAGUGAACAUUAUCAACAGAAAUGGAUGAAUGAAUGAUACUGCAGAUGUCUUAUUCACAAAAAUGAAAUGCUAAAAUCCUUUCUCAUAAUUCUUGAAUGUUAUUUGAUAAUUGCAAGACUUAAGAGAUAGCCGAUAGACAGGUUCCAAAGCGUUCUUCUUUAGACAUAACUUCAAUGAACGGAAUGUGGGUUAUGUUGGGUCAAUCCUCUCCUCUUUCUUACAUUGCCUUUUCAGAUGAGGGCAUCCUUCAAUCUCCAGCGUUUCCAGUGCCGUGAGGCUCCAUACCCCUUGGGGCAAUGACAUCAAAUUACAGCAAUACUUAAUCUCCAACUGUGAAAGCAAGUUGAGGUGUUGUAUCUCAUUCGGAAGAGAAAUUAAUCUCACACAACUCCAAAUACGCAGAGAUUGAAGAGAAGACAGAUGUUGGAUACUCUCUGGCAAUGAGGUUAACUCUGGACAUCCAUUGAUAAGCAAGUCUCGGAGUGAAGUCAGAUAUAGCACCCCCUCAGAUAAAGAGGCUAAUUUCUUACAAUUUUGAAUCCUCAAUGAAGACAAAGACAAUAACCCUUGCAAUCCAUUUGCUGGAAGGGAUACAAGGCUGUCACAUUGACUUAAAUCCAAAGUUUUUAAAGAGCUGAUAUUUUGUAGUCCUGCAGGCAAGCUUUCAAGUUGUAAGCAACUUUCAAGUUCCAAGUGUUUAAGGGAGGAUAGAUUAUCCAGCAUACCAGAUAAAGACUUUAGAGUACUUGACACAAUCGUCAAGCUGUCAAGGUGCUUCUGAUUUUGCAAUAGUCCAUCCGGUAAAUCCGUUAACUCAUCAACUUCAUUAAUCCAGAGAGAUGUAAGAAUAGUGGCAUUCAUCAUCAAAGAUUUAAGUAAAGUAACAUUAAUUCCUCCAAUUUCUAGCUUUUUUAGAGAUUGAAGCAUUGGCAUCUUAACCAACUUGGGACAACAUUUGAUAGUUAACGAACUUAAGAGAGGAAACUGUUCUCUACCAUUCACAGUUGUCCAUUCCUCCAAACAUGGUGCCAUAGCUAUUUCGAGAACCUUCAGUGAUGGAAAAGAACUUUCCAUAUCCCCAUGGAAGUUGCUGUCAAUAUACUUCAGAGCACCCAUUUCCUUAAUAGUAAGGACCUUAAGGAAGCGCAAUUUCCCUAGGGGUGGAAGUUGAUCGCAUAUUUCACAAUCUUCGAGUGAGAUUUCAACAAGGUUUGGUAUAAGCAGUUCCAUCAUCCAAUAUGGAAACCUAUCACCUUGGUAACCAAAUAUGCAUAGCUUCUUCAAGCUAGAAUGUGGUUGGAGAACAUUAAGAAUCUCUUCAUCAUUUCUAUGUUGAUGAUGACAGGUUUCCAAGCUGUCUACUCGCCAAGAUAAGCUUAAUGAACUUAAAUUUUGCUUCUUUUUCAAAUUGGCAUUUUUAGCUUCUGUUGAACUCUUUAUGUUGUGAAGUCCUGUGAUGCUCAAUUCCCCCACUAGGGCCAACUCUUUCAAGUCAUCAAUGCCACCACAACCAAUAUCCUUUCCCACAACAAACAUGCUGAGCUUGCGCAAGCAUGACAAUUGUCCCAAUCCAACAGGCAUAGAAGUUAGUGAAGAGCAACAUCUGAGGUCCAAAUACUUCAGAUUUUUCAAGUGCCUAGUAUCUUUAGGUAACAUUUCAAGGCUGUGACAAUACUGAAGAUUUAGUGUCUGCAAGUUAUGAAGGGAGAUUGUUGAUUCAGGUAGAGUUUUCAUAUUACCAUCAUGAAGGCAUAGGUAUCUCAGCUGUUUCAAACUUUUAAAUGCAGUAUUGCUAAAAGAAUAACCAAAAUCCAACACCUUCAGAUUUUUUUGUUUACUGACGAAUUGGGCAGGAUUAGAGAGGUUAUAAAUACCACAAAAGCUGAUCUCAUUGCCUAGGAUCAAAGAAUGCAACGGUUGCAACUUGGACAAGUCCAUAAUGUUUGUUGAUGAACUGCUAUUAUGAACAAACAAGUGACGUGCAGUUUUUGGUAUUUUCAACCUCUCAUUGGGCUCAAUCACACAGCAUUCAUGUCCCAUAAUUGAUGUUGCAAUGUCAUGGAUUAAAUCAUGCAUUUUACAUGUAACAGUUCCAUCAACAUCCUCUUUGAUCUCUUGGAGAAAGGACCUCCGAGUCAAUUCAGAGAAUAUUUCACAACCCGUAUCAUGCAAAUCCAACAGUCUUCGAGAAGGGAUAAAUCCAUUUGCCAUCCAUAGUCCUAUCAGCUCGUCCUUUACCAUGACAGAAUCUUUGGGAAAUAUUGAGCAAAAUGAAAAACAUUGUUUCAUAUAUGGUGGAAGAUGCUCAUAACUCAACAUCAACACAGCCAAGAUUCUUUUUCCCUCAUCCUCCAAAUCCCAUAUCUCACUAUCUUUGACACGUAACCAUUCACUUUCUUGACUUUUGGAAUGCAGUAUGCUUCCUAUGGCCGUAAUUGCCAAUGGUACCCCUCCACAUCUCUGUAGUAUCUGCCUCCCAGUUGCGUCCAGGUUCACAUUGCCUUCUUUUAUUCCCAUCCCAAAGGCUCUUUGAUUGAAUAGGGACCAAGAAUCAUCAUCUGACAAACAUCCCAAGCGAUAGAAAGGAAUUGUAGCCAUCAUGAGAGCAACUUUCUCAAGUCGAGUAGUGACAAUGACUGUACUUCCUCUUGCUCCACACUGUAGCGCUUGCUUCAGUCUAUCCCACUUGUCAUGGUAUUCAUUCCACACAUCAUCCAAAACAAGCAAAAAUCGUUUCCCAACAAACAUCUCUACUAAGCGCCGCUGCAGGGGAUCUAGCUCUUGGAUAUCGCAUGACUUCCCUUCAAUGGAUUCCACAAUAGCUUUAGUCAACCUUUUUAUAUCAAAAUCAUCAGAUACGCACACCCAAGCUCUCAAAUCAAAGGCUUUUGCCAUAUUUUUGUCAUUGUAGACCAAUUGGGCAAGUGUGGUCUUUCCAAGACCUCCCAUGCCACAUAUUGCAUAAACAGAGAGGUCAUCAUGAUGACUCGCAUUGCUAACCAACAUACUAACUAUCUUUUCCUUCUCAUCUGCUCUGCCUAAUAUUUCCGAUUCUUUCACAAGGGAGCUGGUUUGCCUGUCCUCAUUCCAUUCAAUUGCAGCUUCUACCACACACUCUCUCAAGUGAAACUUGCUUUUCUCCUCAGCAAUGGCAUCUAAUUUCUCUCUUGCAUUCUUAAAUUUACGUGCCAUAUUUAGGCGAAACACAAGAGGGUUCUGAAGAGAAAAGAAAGUGGAUACCUUACUUCUACGCCUCUGAGCUUCAGUUUUGAAGUCAUCAAGCACAUCUUCCAGAUCAUAAGCUGCUUGUUUAAGUUUUCCAAGCCAAUUCUUGAUAGCUUCACUCUUCCACUGCUUCUCCUCGGCAUCAUGGAGCACAGCUUGGAUUGUAGUAAGAGUACUUUCCAGGCUCUGAAGUUCUUUUUUGAGGCUCCCAGCAAGUCCCAUCUCCUCCAGGAACAAGGAGUUCAAGUUGUCUAAGAUGAUAUUCACAACAACUGAAACAAGCGCGUCUGCCAUAUCCACUCUCUCCUAAUAUUUCACAAUCAGCAAAGCAACAACAAUUGGAAACUGAAGAAGAAUUUAACAACCAAGUGAACAAAGAAAAGUUAUUGUUAGAGUUAGGAACCACACGGUAUAUCUUCAAUGUUUUUCUUUUUGGUACAAAGCAUAUAUUCAAUGUUUGAAAAAGAAAUAAAGCAGAAAGUGUAUAAAAUGAUAGACAAGACUGACUGACUGACUGACUGUGACUACCCACCACGCAAUUAUGCGGUAAAAGAAAGAGAGUUUCUAUGGAUGCAGAUGCUUUGGCAAUUAUAUGAAUUCCUUUGGCAUAUUCUGAGAAAUAGAACCGCUUUCGUGUUUGCAUCUACAUUUACCUUUCCAUUUAUAUAUUUAUAAAAUAGAGGUUAAGUUACCAACAUAAAACUGCAAUUGUGAGUAAAACACCAAACACUUCUUAAUCUCAACCAAGAAGAAUUGCAAGUAAAACAUGAUCGAGCAAAUUAAACUCAAUCUUGUUUAAAUUUUGAAAAACCCCAAGAAGGGGAAAAAGAAAACUAUGCACCGGCACAUACUUAAUCGAAUAUUUAUAUAUUUUUUAUAAUAUCUGAAUUUAAAAAGUCCGAUAUUUUUUUAUAAAAAAAAUUAAAGGUAAAGAGAAUUCAGAUUCAGAUACCAUCCAUUGCCAUUCCAUCGCCUACUUAAGCAAUUCUCUUCUACCUCAUAGAAAAUACAAAGAUUGCCAACGUAUGAAUUUCUGCAAUGAUGAAAAAAAGAAGGAAACAGGAAUGGUCUCAAAACCUUAGCCAUCCACUAAACUUAAAAUCUACUAAUACCUUUGUUCAUAAAACUUCAAAUUCCUUCAGCAAAACAUAUCCUGGACUGAUACGAUAGGAGUAAAGAAACCAGAAUCGGAGAACGGCAUGGAAGUCACCCACCCACCUGAAAUCAAAUCAAAAUAAUAUUGAACUCAAAUGGCUAUCGCAAAGCUUUGUGGUAGGGUUCAAAGACCAAAAAUAUCUCAUAUUUCAUUAACAAGUGUAUACUGACUAGAAAAUGGAAGUUCAUAUAUUUUACAAACCAAUGGAAGUUUGAAUUUUCACAACAUUUUACCGGUAAACUGGCAGCUAGGUUAGUCGAAACUUUUUAUUUUAUUUUCUUUUUGAACUUUUUUUAUUGGGUAAACUACAAAAAUAAUCACUUUUGUUUAUAUUAGAUUAUAUUUUAGUCAUUUAUGCUUGAAAUGUUAUGUUAUAGUCACUUGCAUUAUCGUUUUGUUAUAAAGUAGUCACUCUACCAUUAAGCUCCAUUACCUCCUUAACAGCGGUCUUAUGUGGUAGUCCAAAUAGGUUUUAAAUGCCAACUCGAAUGUUCAGUUGUUUGGAUGAAAAUAGGUUUUUAAUUAAAUAAAUUUCAAUUGUUGGGAUGAAAAUAUAUUUUUAAUUAAAUAAAUUUAAUUUGGACUGCCACGUAGGACGUCUAAGUUGGCAUUUAAAACCCAUUUAGACUACCACGUAGGGUUACCGUUAGGGAGAUAACGAAGUUUAACGGUAGAAUGACUACUUCAUAACAAAACGAUAAUAUAAGUUACUAAAAUGUAACAUUUCAAAUAUAAGUUACUAAAAUGUAAUACGAGGUAAACAAAAGUAAUUAUUUUUAUAGUUUACCUUUUUUUAUUUUACUUUUUGUUUUAGGAAAAAGUAAGUAGUUUUUAAACAUUUUUAUAUGAAUAAUGUAAGAAAAAAAAAUUUAAUAUAUAUAUAUAUAUCUUUAAAUGUUAUUUUUCCUAAUUUCUUUGACGGGUACAUCAACAUUUAUGGAUAAAAACGAGUGCAAUAUCAAAUUAUUAUAAGGUCGACGUGUUGAGAUUUACGAAUUUUCUUAUCUCAUUCUCUUCUAUUUGGCGAAAAGUUGUUUUUAAAAAAAUCUAACAUUCUCUUACCUAAAAAAAAUUAAUUUUUGUUAUUAAUUUUUUUAUUUUAUAAUAUUAUAAAUUUAAUCUAUUUAUUUUAAUUUGGUCCUUUUUAGUUAAUAUGUUUUUUCAAGAUUUAAAAUUUCAAUUCUCACAAAACGGUUAUUAAAUUCAUUAAGUCCUGCUUUUUAAAAAAUUUGAUGUGAAAAACAUAUUAUGAUAUGUAAUAUAUCAGAUCGUUAUUGUCGAAACCUUUUUUUUGAAAACCAAAAAUGGCUUGUUGACUUUAAAAAAAAAUUGGAGUCGCCACCGAUCCUUUAUUAAGGUGUGAUCGGCUCACCAUAAAAAUAAUUCUGGUCUGCAAAAUUUGAGAAAACAGGUUCGGGAAUCAAUUACGCACGAGGAAGGGUUAGCACCCUCGUGACGCUCAAAAAUCGGUACCAAAUUUGAUUAUUUUAUGUCCUGAUGUCGAAAAUUUGAAAAGAUUUUAAAUAGAAAAUUUUAACCCGUGAAUGGAUUUAAAAUGAUAAAACAUUCUCAUUUCAAAGAAAUAAAACACCACACCCAGUAAGUUAGGGCACAAUAUUUUAUAUCUUCAAAAUAUCGAAUAUUGCUUUUUGUUUCAGAAAUUCUUAUUUCGAGAUAACGAAAUGUCACGACCAGUAAGUUAGGACCCGACAUUUUGAAUUCCCGAGAAUAAGGUUUUAUUUGAAAAUUGCAAAUUCAUUGUAAAAUAAAUACUUAGCUCGUUAAAUUCAUCGAAAAAAUGAUCGCGAUCCAGUAAGUUAGGAUACGAUCUUUCUCGAGAACCAUGAUUGCUAAAUAUUUAAGAAUUAAAAAAAAAAUUUAAUACUUUCACGAAGCAAAAAUAGAUUUUUCUUUAAAAGUAUGAUAAAAUGCUAAUGCGUAACAUGAAAUCAUUACUCUAAUUUAAAAUAUACCUAUAUAUGUAUACAAAAAUUAUAAAAAAGAACAUAAUUAUAAAAUAUAAUAAGUAGACAUAAAAAUAAAAACGUAAGCAUAAUAUAUUAAUAAUUAUGAAAAUAUGGGUAUAUAUGUAUAUAAAAAUAUAUGGAAAAUAUAUUUAUAAAAGUUUUGAAUAAUAUAUAUGUGUAUAUAUAUAUAAAAGCAUGUAUAAACAUAUAUAGAUUAUAAAAUAUGGAAAGCAUAUCAAUAUUGUAAAAUAAAAAUGUAUAUACGUGUAUAUAUAUAUAAAAUAAUAAUAAUAAAGUAUAUAAAAAAUGUUUAAAAUAUAUACAUAUAAAUAUUAUCACAUAAAUGCGCAUAUAAUAUAUGUAUAAUAAUAAUAUAACAUAAUAAUAAUAAAUGCUAAUAAUAAUACAGUAAUAAACAAUUUAACAGUAUUAAAAAACAAUAACAAAUUAAGGAUUAAUAAUGAAAAUAAAUAAAAUUUAAAGGCUAAAUUCGAAAAUUGAAAACGUGAAAAGGAGCAAAUUAAAACGCGCGUAACAUGAGGAGGACCUAAAAAGAAAUUUACCCAAACCUCCCAAACACCGCACAGCAAUGAGGACCGUAUUGAAACAAUAUUAAAAUAUGCAGUAAAAUUUAAAAGAAACAAUAAAUUUAAUUUAAACAACCCCAAAAAGCAAAGGACUAGUCGCGCGAAUGGCCCCUUUUGAACCCUUAUAAAAUCCCAUUUUAAAACCCUAAAGCCAUUCUCUCUCUGCCAUUUGAAGAUUUGUGUCGCAGCCCCUCUCCCUCUCUGCUGCUUCAGACUCCAACGAAGCAAAGAGACCCUCCGACGCCUCUCACAAUGGUUAGUCCUCCUCCCCUCACCCUUUUCGUGUUUCGCUCUUAGGAAGAAGGAAGAAAAACCACAAAACAAACAACAACAAAAAUAAUAAAAUAAUAAGAGAUCUCAGAAAACAAAAUUAAUCACCUCUCGAAUCCUUGCUUUUCUAUUUUUCCUCUUUAUUUCCUUUAAUUCUCAAUACCAAAAUUUGCUAACCUCCUUUACAGAUUUGAUUACCCCCUUUAUACAACCGAAAACCCCUAUUUUUCGUUUGCCCCUACCUCCUGUUCGUGGCUUAUUUGUUGCAGGUGGAUACUAGAGGAGGCGUGCGCGACGUGCGUACGGGGACUGAACAUGGGUGAAGACAGUUGCCGCGACGUGGGCAGUUACUGCGACGCGAAGAACAUGCGUGGCACGAAGGCUAUCUGCUGCUUAGAGUUAGGGUUUGCACACUUGGGCCUUAUUGGGCCGAAUGUAUUAGGAUUUAGCCCAAAUUUUAUUUUGGCUGUAUAAUGAACUGUCUUUUUAUUAAAAUUGGUUUUAUUUUCUGCUAGGCUCGGGCCCAAAAUUGGGUAUUACAGCUGCCCCUUUUUGUUCAUUGUCGUGUAAUGGAAAUAGAGCAAAGACUUUAAAAUAACCAAUUUUGCCCGGUUAUGCUAGACUUUGGCGUUCUCUUCUUCAAAUAACUUCAUUCCAUCCUACUGCAUCUUCAGAGGUAUAAGAACUAGUGUUUUAAUCCACUCCACUGCAACAUCAGGGAGAUAGGACUUAAUCUUGUAGCCUCUCAAAAGGAUAAAGUUUGCAUCUUUAGUCUGCUCCACUGCAACUUCAGGGAGAUAAGACUUGUAGCUUAAACUUAUUAAUUGCGCUGUCGGAGAAAACCAGAUCCGCCGCUGUGACUUCAAUCUGCUCCACUACACCGCCAGAGAAGUAAGAUCCGCCAUUGUCACUUCAAUCUUUUUAAUUGCGCUGUCGAAGAAACCAGAUCCGCCGUUGUGACUUCAAUCUGCUCCACUACACCGCCAGAGAAGUAAGAUCCGCCGUUGUGGCUUUAAUCUUUUAAAUUGCGCUGUUGGGGAAACCAGAUCUGCCGUUGUGACUUCAAUCUGCUCCGCUGUACCGCCAGGGAAAGUAAGAUCUGUCGUUGUGGCUUUAAUCUUUUAAUUGCGCUGUCGGGGAAACCAGAUCCGCCGUUUUGACUUCAAUCUGCUCCGCUGCACAGCCAGGGAAGUAAGAUCCGCCGUUGUGGCUUCAAUCUUUUAAAUUGCGCUGUCGGGGAAACCAGAUCCGCCGUUGUGACUUCAAUCUGCUCCACUGCACCGCCAGGGAAGUAAGAUCCGCCGUUGUGGCUUUAAUCUUUUAAAUUGCACUGUUGGGGAAACCAGAUCUGCCGUUGUGACUUCAAUCUGCUCCACUGCACCACCAGGGAAGUAAGAUCCGCUGUUGUGGCUUCAAUAUUUUUAAUUGCGCUGUCGAAUAAACCAGAUCCACCGUUGUGACUUCAAUCUGCUCCGCCACAACGCUAAGGAAAUUAAAAAUCUACUAUUUUCAACCUACUCCAUUGCUGCUCAAGGAGAUAAGGCUGAAGUUUUAUCGGUUUGUUCUCUAGGGAACAUGACCUGUAAAAUUCAAAUUAUGAACCUAAUUAUGCCUAGUGAUUAGGAUGUCAUGAUCAAAAUGAAUCAAAUGCUCCUAACUAGAUGUGUAUGAAUGACAUUUGAAUGAAUGUAAAAUAUUUCGAGAAUGAUCCCGCUCAGGUUGUCAAUACUCAAAACUUAUUAAGACUGUAUCACUGACGCACUACAAUGUCCUCUUGCUCAGCUCGCAUAUCCAAAUAAACGCUUAAUCAGAUUGCCCCCCACCGUGAACUUCAAAGUUCAAUCCACUGGGAUGCAUCAUUUGUACCAUCUUUCUCCUGCUGUAACCCAAGGGUAGAAAAACCUGGCCUUUUCUCAAUCCUUUCCUAUCAUAAAUCAAGGAUACAUAAUGUAAAGCUCUUUGGUCUUUUACACCAAUUCUACGGCGCCAUGCCAAAUGCUCAUGCACCAAUGAAGGACUUUCUUCUCCACGGGAACCUCUUCCUAUCACAAGGUAAUCACCGCUUAUUUGUUCAAUGAGGCUUUGUCACCAGCACAACAUCUUGUCAUUCUGUUCAAUCAAUGUUUUUGACAACAAAAUCCAAAGAGAAGGUCUUAAUUUAGACCAUUCCUUAUCAGAUUUCCAACCUUUAAACCUAGUGCGUUCUGAACAAUAGUCCUGUUUCAGGUUACUGUAUCAUUUAGAAACUUUCAAAGUAAUAUGCAAAAUUUCCCUUAUAAAAGUAGUAUUAUCCUAUUGCCCCAAUGAAAAAUGCUUGAACAUGACUAUCAAAAUGGACAAGAUGAAAUUCAUUAAGAAUAAAGCUCAAGAUGAGUAGAUUACAAAGAAUAGUAAGAAGAAAAGAGGAAUGGAUUGGAAACAUGAAUCUUGAAAAGGAAUAAAGUAUUCCAAGAUAUAAAUACUGAGAAGAUUAGGUGCCCCAGAUAUCGCAGUUUGAACUUCUCUGCACAAACCUCCUGAAGACCACUUUGAAUCCGUUAUGUACUUUAGAAGGUCUUACAGUAUUCUGUCAAAGCCCCAAGAUGUUGCGUCCCCUUUCCCACUGAUUCAACCAUUGCAAGAUCACCAGAUGCGUCAUCUGAUCAGCAUUUGAGCAGUCUUUUUUUGGGUUUUCAACUCAAAUCCCCUUUGGUCUCAAAGUGCCUUUUACAGGUUUUCACAUUGGCCUCUCCUAUUUUCUCUCUCUCUUCUCUUAUUUUUUCUCUCUCUCUUGUUUUUUAAAAUAAUUUUUUUAAGAAAAGUAUUUCUUAACCGUAUCCGAGUUUACAGGGUUUGGCAAAUCUUUACCAUCCAUCUCACUCAAAAUCAAAGCUCCAUCUAGGAAGGCUUUCUUUACAACAUAUGGACCUUCCCAAUUCGGCAUCUAUUUCCCUCUGAAAUCCUUUUGUAUAGGAAGGAUAUUUUUCAACACUAGCUCUCCCUCAUGAAAUUCUCUGAGACAAACCUUUUUAUUGUAGGCUCGCAUCAUCCGCCUUUGAUACAUCUGACCAUGGCGAACAGCCUUUAGCCUUUUCCCUUCAAUUAAGUUCAAUUGAUCGUAAUGAGAUUGAACCCAUUCUGCCUAAUCUAGUUUCAACUCAGAUAAUACCUGGAGAGAGGGAAUUUCUAUCUUAAUAGGUAAAACUGCCUCCAUCCCAUAUACCAAAGAGAAAGGUUUUGCCCCAGUCGAAGUCCUGACAGACGUUCUAUAAGCAAAAAGAGCGAAUGGUAAUUUUUCAUGCCAAUCUUUGUAAGUCUCAGUCAUCUUUCCUACAAUUUUCUUGAUAUUCUUAUUGGCCGCUUCUACUGCACCAUUCAUCUUUGGGCGGUAUGGCGACGAGUUAUGAUGUCUGAUCCUGAAUUGACUGCAGACCUCCGCUAUUGCACUAUUAUUCAAAUUCAACGCAUUAUCAGAUAUGAUCCUCUCAGGCAUUCCAUACCGACAUAUGAUUUCCUUUUUCAAGAAUCUGCUAACUGCUGACUUCGUCACAUUUGCAUAUGAAGCAGCUUCCACCCAUUUGGUAAAGUAGUCAAUAACCACAAAGACGAAGUGAUGCCCGUUUGAAGCCUUUGACGAUAUUGGCCCAAUGACGUCCAUACCCCACAUAGAGAAAGGCCAUGGAGAAGUCAUAACAUGAAGAGGUGAAGGAGGUGCAUGCCUUUUAUCGCCAUAAAUUUGACAUUUAUGGCACUUCUUAGCAUAACUGAUGCAAUCCCUUUCCAAAGCAGACCAAUAAUACCCAAAUCUCAUGACCUGCCUGGCCAUUGUGAAACCAUUUGCAUGUGUUCCACAGAUGCCUUCAUGGACUUCUUCUAGAAUUUUUCUAGCUUCCACUGCGUCCACACAUCUUAGCAGUACUUGAUCCUUCCCUUUUUUGUACAGGAUUUCUCCAUCUAGAACAUAGUCAAUAGCCAAUCUUCUCAGUUCUCUCUUAUCAUUCUCUGUUGCCUGAUUCGGAUACUUACGAUUCUUUACAUAUCGCAAGAUAUUCAAAUACCAAGGAUGGUCAUCCUUUUCCUCUUCCUCAACAUUAUAACAAUGACCCGGAGUUUUAGAAAUACUCAUCUGAAUAGGCUUCAUACCCUCUAACCUAUUCACUCGGAUCAUAGAGGCUAAGGUAGCCAACGCAUCAGCCAUCUAAUUCUCAUCCCGUGGAAGAUAAUAAAAAGUAACGACAUCAAACUCAUCCAUCAAUUCGAGAACCAUCUUUCGAUAACUGAUUAGUUUAGAGUCCCGUGUCUCCCAUUCUCCUUUGAGUUGAUAUAUCACUAGUGCAGAAUCCCCAUACACUUCUAACACUUUGAUUUUACGCUCGAUGGCUGCACCAAUGCCCAUAAUGCACGCUUCAUACUCUGCCAUAUUAUUUGUACAAUCAAAAUCUAGUUUGCUAGCGAAAGGAUAAUGAUCUCGACUUGGAGAUAUUAAGACUGCCCCUAUUCUAUUACCCACAGCAUUUGAGGCUCCAUCAAAAUUUAACUUCCACACCUGAUCCAUUUGGGAAUUUCCUUCAGUAGUUGCCACAUACAUCAAGUCCUCGUUUGGGAAAUCAAAGUUUAAAGGCUCAUAAUCCACCAAGGCUCUGCUAGCUAAAAAGCCAGCUAUUGCGCUCCCUUUCACAGCCUUCUAACUCACAUACACUAUGUCAAAUUCAGAAAGCAAGAUCUUCCAUCUAGCCAUCCUCCCAUUCAAAGCAAUCGACUCCAUCAUAUACUUUAAGGGGUCUAACUUUGAAAUUAGCCAUGUCGUAUGAUACAACAUAUAUUGCCGUAGUCUUCGAGUUGUCCAAACCAAAGCACAACAUAACUUUUCAAUAGCCGAAUAUCUCGCUUCACAAUCAGUGAAUUUCUUACUGAGAUAGUAUAUUGCCCUUUCCUUUCUCCCUGUCUCAUCAUGUUGGCCUAACACGCACCCCAUGAAAUUGUCAAAUACUGUUAAAUACAGUAUUAACGGCCUAUCCAGAUUAGGUGGUGAUAGCACUGGAGGAUUAGACAAAUAUUAUUUUAUUUUGUCAAAAGCCUUCUGGCAUUCUUCAUCCCAUACGCUCGGAUUAUGCUUCUUUAGAAGACGGAAUAGGGGAUCACAUUUCUCAGUCAGUUGUGAAAUAAACCGAGAAAUGUAAUUUAGCCUUCCCAAAAAACCCCUUACUUCCUUCUGUGUGUGCGGUGGAGGCAAAUCUCGUAUUGCCCUGACUUUGUCUGGAUCAACUUCAAUUCCUUUCCCACUGACUACGAAGCCCAACAACUUCCCCGAUCUAGCUCCAAAGGUGCACUUUGUUGGAUUAAGGUUGAGCUAGAAAUUUUUUAGUCUCAAAAAUAAUUUUCGCAGAACUUGAACAUGCUCCUCUUCCGUUCUGAAUUUUACAUUCAUAUCAUCGACAUAAACCUCAAUCUCCUUGUGCAUCAUGUUAUGAAACAAAGUUACCAUAGCUCUUUGAUAAGUUGCCCCCCAUUCUUUAAUCGAAAUGGCAUCACUUUGCAACAGAACGUUCCCCACAAAGUGAUAAAUGUGGUCUUUCUCAUAUCUUCUGGAUGCAUCUUUAUUUGAUUGUAUCCAGAAAAACCAUCCAUGAAAGAAAACAAUGAAUAGCCUGUAGUAUUAUCUACCAAAGUAUCAAUGUGAGGCAACAGAAAAUUAUCUUUUGGACUGACCUUUGUUCAAAUCCCUAUAAUCUACACACAUUCAUACCUUCCCAUCUUUCUUAGGGACAGGGACAACAUUAGCUACCCAUUCUGAAUACUUAACUUCUUGCAAGAACCCAGCAUCGAACUGCUUUUUGACUUCUUCUUUUAUCUUUAGCACAAUGUCAGGCCUCAUUCUUCUGAGCUUCUGCUGAACUGGCUUGUAAUCCUCUUUUAUGGGAAGACGGUGCACCACAAUAUCAGUGCUUAACCCAGGCAUAUCUUGAUAUGACCAUGCAAAGACAUCUUUGAAUUCCCGGAGUAAUUCAAUGAGGUCCUGCCUUGUCUUGGCAGAAACAUCAGUUCCGAUCUUUACCUCUUUUCUCUCCUCUAGACUCACAAUCUCCAAUGAUCUUUAUGAGGUAAGAUUUGCUUAUCCUCCUCUUCUACCAUUCUCAAUAAGUCCGGAGAUACAUUACAGUCUACGUCAUCUCCAAAAUUCGGUGAUCCCUCUAAACACCUGUCUUGUUCAAAAGGUGAUUCUGAGUCUGGAGCAGCGUCAUUCAUAUCAUUGAUAUCUGGGGACCUAUGAUAAGUGCCAAAGAAUAUACAAAGAAUGUAUGAAUUUAUGAACAAAAUAUGAUUAUGAAAUGAAUAAAAGAAUGAAAGAACAAUUGCUCGAAAAAAGAAUAAAAGAAUACUGGCUCAAAAAUGCAUACGAAAACGUGUAUUUAUUGAAAUUAUAAUAUUCAUCAUGUGCAUAAUCAAUAAAGAAAUUAUAUUUUAAGUUAAAACAACAAGGAUGUUCUGCAUAUUUAUUCUGAACAAGUUCUAAAAACUACAGGAAUCUCUUCCACAGUCCAAUUGUUCAGAUCACUUCCAGGCUCGUAAGGGCGAAUCUUUAACAAUGUCUCUUUUUCCUCUGUGUCUAGGGCAUUGACGUAAACAUCUCUUAAUACUUCUUCAACACCUUCCACUUCAAGCACUCUUCGUUCCGGAUGAAUAAACCCUCCUGACACGAAAGUCUUGGAUAUGUGAGGAAAAACCAUAGGCUCCCACCUAACUUCAUUUCCACUCAGGCGUGCCCUUCUUCUCUCCUGUCUUCUCUCUAUUUCCUUUCUUCUUUGUUUUAUAUCUGGUCUAUAGCCCAAACCAAAACGAUCAAACUUUUCUUUCAUUGUUGGUGCUUCAACUCCUCCUUGCAAAUAUCUUCCCAAUCCUUUUCCGGGUACUCCUCAUUUUCCCACCAUUAAUUGAAGGCCCAUUCUUGUAGUCCUGGAUAUCUUCGGUACUGGAAUUCUAUUCCCUUUAGCAAUAAAUGUUGUAUUUACGAACUCUAAAGAUUGAAAAGAGCAUUCCACCGCUUCUUCAUCAAUCUCCACGUAUGGUGCAUCACUGGUUACUAAUGCAUAAUACUCUCAUCAGUAUUUAUUGUCACCAAUCAUCCCUCUGACACUAACUUUAACUUUUGAUGUAGCGAUGAAGGCACAGCCCCUGCCGAGUGUAUCCAAGGUCCCCUAAUAAGCAGUUAUAGGAAGGCUUGAUGUCCAUUACAAUGAAAUCUACUUCAUAAGUAUCCGGGCCAAUCAGCAACGGUAUCUCAAUUCUCCCCAAAACCUUCCUUUUCGUUCCAUCGAACGCGCUUACCACAUUUUGACAUGUUUUCAUAUGUGAGCUAUCUACAGGUAACCUAUUGAGAGUAGAUAAGGGCUGUACAUUCAAUGUAGACCCAUUAUCAAUUAAAACUCCCGACACCAAGCUUCCUUUACACCGAGCAGUAAUGUGCAGAGCUUUUGUGGACCUCAUACCUCCAGAUGGUAUUUCAUCAUCGUUGAAGAAGAUAAAAUUAUCAGCGCUUAUAUUGUUGACCAACCGAUCCAAUUGGUUGAUAGAAAUAUCACUUGCCACGUAAGUUUCAUUUAAUGCCUUCAUCAGCGCAUUUCGAUGCACCUUUGAACUCCUAAGCAAAGUCAACACAGGUAUACGAGCUCGCUGUUUAUGCAGUUGCUCUACAACACUAUACUCACUGUGUUUUAAAAAUUUCAAGAAUUCAGUGGAUUCUUCUUCCUUUAUUGGCUCAUUAAUCAAUGACCUUAAUUCAGCCUUCUUCUCUUUCUUUUGCUCUGCUGCAAGGACUUUUCCCUCCACCGAUUCUGUUUCAGCAUUGAUCCGACCACAGUACUCUUCAAUAUUCGUAUAAAAACCCAUCUUUUGGUUUUUUUCCACAACACUAGCUGAAGCUUCUAUCCCCGAAAUUGCUACCUCGCACUCAUAAUUCCAGGGGACCUUCUUGUUAUUCUUAUACGAAAACUUCAUCGGCUUUUGAAUAACAAUCUUCGGAGUCACCUGUGCCCUAACUUCAACCCUAGAGCGUGAGAUGAUAAUCUUUGGCAAUCUCUCUCUAACUCCGGUGCGCAUAUAUUUCCUUUUCUUUCUUCCUCUUCAAAAAACUCCAUUUCUCCACUAUCCAUCAUACUCUGAAUCAGAGGUCUGAACUUCUCACAUCUUUGAAUUUCAUGUCCCACAUCAUGAUGGAACUCACAAUAAUUUUGGGUCUUGCCACCCUCCACAAAAUCUGAAACAAUUAAUCUUCUUCUUACCAUUUCCUUCCAAACCCUCCUCAAAGGGAUCUUUACCUCAGCAAUAUUCUCCUUGACCCUCUUCCCCGUAGCUUCACCUACCAUGUUUACCCCUGCAUUAGUAUGUUUGGGUAAUGGAUUUUCCGUACCUGAUGAAUCAUCUAUCUUGACAACGCCCAUCUGAAUGAGCUUAUCAACAAGCUUUUUAAAAGUAGUACAAUGCUCUAUGGAGUGCCCCGUAACUCCUGUAUGGUAAUCGCAUUGUGCAUUUGCGUCAUACCAUUUAGGAUAUGGAGACUGUAAAUGGGUCAAAUAAAAUGGGGCAACAACGUGCGCGUUGAAUAAAUUUUGAUACAACUCUUUAUAUGACAUAGGAAUAGGUGUAAACUGAGGCCUGUCAUUACUUGGCCUCGUACCAGAUUCCUGUUUUGAUGAACCCGAUUGACCUGUCACUACCUUCUUGGGCUGAUUCACCGUAAUUGACUUCUUGUAUCUAUUCACGUUGUUUACCUUACUUUCUUUUUUCUUUGAGUUUUGCCUUCUGCUAUUAUCUCCAACAUCAAUCUUCCCACUCUUUACAGCACUUUCAAUCAUCUCACCACUCAUGACAAUGUCAGCAAAGUUUUUCGUGGCACUGCCUAACAUGUGUGUGAUGAAAGGGGCCUUCAGCGUAUUAACAAAAAGUAUUGUCAUUUCUCUUUCAAUGAGCAGUGGUUGGACCUGCACUGCCACCUCCCUCCACCUUUGAGCGUAUUGUCUAAAAUCUUCAUUCGACUUUUUCUCCAUGUUCUGUAAAGUAAUCCUAUCAGGAACCAUUUCUGCCACAUGACCGUACUGCUUCAUAAAAGCCUGUGCUAAGUCCCUCCAGGAGCUAAUCUUAGCACGGCUUAAUUGAUUAUACCACUUUGACGCAGCUCCCGUGAGGCUAUCCUGAAAAUAGUGUAUCAAUAACUGGUCAUUAUUGACAUACCCAGUCAUUCGCCUACAAAACAUAGUAAUGUAGGCUUCAGGGUAAGUGGUCCUAUUAUACUUAUCGAAAUUCGAUAUUUUAAAUUUGUACGGAAGUACUAAAUCCGGUACCAAACUUAAAUCCUUAGCAUCAAUCCCAUGGCAUCUUUCAGUAGUUUCCAUCGCUUUGAAUUUCUCCUCAAUCUACUUCCAUCUUUCUUCUAAUUACUUUGGUAAUUAUUCUUUUGUUUUCUCUUUUUCAACUGCUUCAUCGAAAUCAGGAACAAUAGGUUGGCAAGAUUAUUCUCAGGACUGGAGCCUGAUCUGGUCUGAAAAUUCAUCGAUCUUGAAGCAUCGGCUUGAAAUUGCUGAGGCCUAAUCGUAACAGAAGAUUUACGCGGGUACACUUCCGCUUGGUGCUGCACAUGUAGAGGAGUGAAGCCUGGAGGAUACUGGAGUCCAUCCUCGCCUUCCUCUUCCAUAUUUGUUACAGGGCUCUUUCCCUUAUCUUUCCCUUCGGUCAACAAUCGCGUUAACGUUGUCAUCUACUUCCUUGUGAUUCCUCCAUUUUAUUCAUCAAACUUUGUUGAAUCUUCUCGAGUUGUUCCUUCAUUUGCUGCUGAAGCUGAUCUUGCAUUUCUUUUUGGAACCCUUCGAGCUUUUCCAACCUUUGGUCCAUAUUUUUUAAUUUCGCUCUUGUACCGUAACGGUGCUGAGUUGGCUGGCUAGAUUCCAGGUUAACUGAGGAAUGAUUUUGAUUAAUCAGAACCCUUUGAUAAUUUUUAAUGCAUGUAAUGCGAUGUAUGAAAAUGAAUGCAGAAAAGGCAUUGAUUCUAAUUUCAAUUACUUUCAGAAACUUUAUUAGAAAAUAAAUCUCUUUACAUAGAAUGGGCUACAAAUAUGGCUUUGCCCUAAUACUUAAGACCCUUAUCUUUUUAAGCAACGAUGCUAAUUCUUGUCCCCGAUCUGACUCUAGCUCAUACUUCACGCUCAACGUGUCAGCUUGUACGACCAAGGUUUGCAAGUGGUUUGCUACCUCCUGAAUCUGGAUCACAGCUUCUCCCAUAAUAUGAUCACUGUCUCUAACUUAAUUUUGGAAAUACUGAAGCUGCUCAUUUUGGCGCCCUUCCUUUGCCUCUAGAUGCUGAAUCCGAACCUCACAAUUCUGCAAUGCUGCUUCUAGCCUUUCUAUUGUACUCUUCAUCUCUUCAAUCUUGCUAAGACUUGCUUUCAACUCUAUUACCGAAUUUCGACUUCGGUGUUGAUGGAGAGACCCUUCUAACUCAACUACUCUGUCUUUUAGUCCUCCUUUUUCCUUUUGGCUCUCCGACAAGCUUCUUUCUAAUGCUUCAUUUCGUGCUUGUACCUCUCGAAAUUUCCUUUCCCACCAAUCUGACCUAUUUCUUUCCUCUCGAAUUUCUUCACGCCACUACUCUGAAGUCUUUCCAAGCCCUGCAGUUCUUAUUGACAGACGCAGCUUCUUGUAAUCUGUCUUUAAGCUAUUUAGCUCCUCCUCAGCCUUGUUCUUCCCCUUUCUCAGUUUAUCAGCCUCGAUCUUCUGAACAUCCACAUCCAGUCUCAAAUUCACUUUCUCUUCCUCCAUUUGCUCUAUUUUCUUCUCUAAUUCGCCAUUCUUCUUUUCAAAGUCUUGUUUUAUGAUCUCCAGCUCAGUGGGGACGACAUGCAAAUGCUCCUCUAUCGACUGACUAUUUUCCAGACUCAGCCUAGGAAUGUUAUCGUUGAUCCUCUUAACCCACCAUUCACUAUACUCGAGAGUUGUCAUCGGAUCCACAGCCAAUCUCCUCAUUCGGCGAGUCUGAUUCCAUGCAUUAGCUAUCUCACGAGCCUUCUUUUUGUAACCAUCAUCUUUAUACGAGAAUUCACACUCGGCUAGCCCCUGAGUUGUAGGCACAAACUGCCUUGACCUGUAUUGCCUUAACACUAACAAUGGGGCAUAACCAACAGCUCCCCAAAUUCUAAGCAAAGGAACCCAGUCGAAAUCCCCACACCGAUACAAGACCUCAUCUGGAAGUAACCACGGAGCUCUCCACUCGAUAUCCUCCUCUUGCAAAUUCUAAAAAAUUGCCAUCCACUUCUCUUCUGAGAUGUUAUUCCUCCUCAGUGUAGCCACUAUCUCCUUUAAUGGUGAAUAGCUUUCAGAGAAGACCCAAUAUAAAACCUUAUCCUCCUUCCAGAAGUGAUUGUGGAACCAAGCAAGUAGAAGCUGCGCACAUCCAAUGAAUCUACCCUCUCCUGCCCUCCGGCAUGCAUUCAGUGACCUGAAAAUUUCUGCCAAAAUUACUAGGACCGGUGAAACUCUCUUAUCAAGCCGAUCGAAUAAGUCAGUAACCGCUUCAUCAACAUGCCUCAAAGUCUUAGGGAAGACAACCAAACCAUAUAUACUUAAAACAAAGAUAUCUACCUUCUUCCUCGCAUCUGGGUAUGCUAAAAUGAGGUCCUUCAAAAUUUUCUAAGGAAUGCACCUACUGUCUCCCUUUUGCUUGAUCCGAGCUGUAACCCACUGCUCACUCAUUCCCGUUAUAUUCAUCAGCUUCUUCAAGAAGGUCUGUACAUUUACCGCUUUCGAAUAGAUUCUAUCUAUUUGAACCCUCGAACACCGAAGUAAAGCCGUGUACUCCUCUAUUGUAGGCACCAAAUCAACCUUUCCGAAUGUGAAGCAACUGUAGGCCGAAUUCCAAAACUGGGCAAGAGCUUGAAACAGACGCUUGUCUACCUUCAUAUCGAGUAAAUAAGGUAAAUCCCCAUAAUUUGAAUAGAACAACUGCCUAACCUCAUUAUUCCACUGAUCCCAAAUCUCCUUCAACUCCUGCAAGUUAUUUUGAGCUACGCUAACACGGGUGAAGUCCCAUAAUUCUGAUACGUAUCCCUCGGCCAAACUAUCACCUUUUUCGCACUGUGUCAUCUCAGCCCAGGUUCGGACAGUCUCAUUGUCCUCCACUCUAUCAAGAAACCCAUUUCCCAUGAUAAGCUUUCUGUCUAGUAACCGAAUAUGAACCAACGCCUUUAUAAUGAAAUGCCAUGUAAUGCCAUGCAAUCAGAAAAAAAAACAUAAAAAGUUAGAAACAAUUAAAUACAAUACAACCAAAAAAACUCCUCAUUAGGUAUCUACUAAGGCUCAAAGUAAUUCUACCUAGGGCGGGUUCCUAAGGUUCACUAUAUGAGGUUGUGGCUUCUAGAGCAAGGGUACCCGAACCAGGAGAUUCCUUGAUCUUCACCCAUUAUAGGUUCAUAUGGACCAAGUUCGGUUCAGGGGAAUACAUUUCCCUAUGGCUGCACGGAGAUGAAAAUCUCACGAAGACAUAGGUACGGAUGUAUCCCGAAAGCGAUCCACUACCCUGCAAGGAGGUGAAAACCUCACGAAGGACUAGUUUCUCACUCCCACUUAAAGGGAUAAAAUUGACCAUGAAAUGCAAAAUGCAAAUAAACUAACGGACUUAGAUCAAUCAAGCAAGCAUAUGAUAAAACUAGUGAAUGCAAAGGGGAAAAUCAUGAUUUAAAACAACUUUAAUUUUCGAUAAAAAGACACAAAAUAAUCAAUUUAUGGCUCGACUCACUAAGUCCCCAGUGGAGUCGCCAAGUUGUCGAAACCUUUUUUUUUGAAAACCAAAAAUGGCUUGUCAACUUUAAAAAAAAAUUGGAGUCGCCACCGAUCCUUUGUUAAGGUGUGAUCGGCUCACCAUAAAAAUAAUUCUGGUCUGCAAAAUUUGAGAAAACAGGUUCGGGAGUCAGUUACGCACGAGGAAGGGUUAGCACCCUCGUGACGCCCAAAAAUCGGUACCAAAUUUGAUUAUUUUAUGUCCUGAUGUCGAGAAUUUGAAAAGAUUUUAAAUAGAAAUUUUUAAUCCGUGAAUGGAUUUAAAAUGAUAAAACAUUCUCAUUUCAAAGAAAUAAAACACCACACCCAGUAAAUUAGGGCACAAUAUUUUAUAUCUUCAAAAUACCGAAUAUUGCUUUUUGUUACAGAAAUUCUUAUUUCGAGAUAACGAAAUGUCACGACCAGUAAGUUAGGACCCGACAUUUUGAAUUCCUGAGAAUAAGGUUUUAUUUGAAAAUUGCAAAUUCAUUGUAAAAUAAUUACUUAGCUCGUUAAAUUCAUUGAAAAAAUGAUCGCGAUCUAGUAAGUUAGGACACAAUCUUUCUCGAGAACCAUGAUUGCUAAAUAUUUAAAAAUUAAAAAAAAAAGAUUUUAAUGCUUUCACGAAGCAAAAAUAGAUUUUUCUUUAAAAGUAUGAUAAAAUGCUAAUGCGUAACAUGAAAUCAUUACUCUAAUUUAAAAUAUACCUAUAUAUGUAUACAAAAAAUUAUAAAAAAGAACAUAAUUAUAAAAUAUAAUAAGUAGACAUAAAAAUAAAAACGUAAGCAUAAUAUAUUAAUAAUUAUGAAAAUAUGGGUAUAUAUGUAUAUAAAAAUAUAUGGAAAAUAUAUUUAUAAAAGUUUUGAAUAAUAUAUAUAUGUAUAUAUAUAUAUAAAAGCAUGUAUAAACAUAUAUAGAUUAUAAAAUAUGGAAAGCAUAUCAAUAUUGUAAAAUAAAAAUGUAUAUACGUAUAUAUAUAUAAAAUAAUAAUAAUAAAGUAUAUAAAAAAUGUUUAAAAUAUAUACAUAUAAAUAUUAUCACAUAAAUGCGCAUAUAAUAUAUGUAUAAUAAUAAUAUAACAUAAUAAUAAAUGCUAAUAAUAAUACAGUAAUAAACAAUUUAACAGUAUUAAAAAACAAUAACAAAUUAAGGAUUAAUAAUGAAAAUAAAUAGAAUUUAAAGGCUAAAUUCGAAAAUUGAAAACGUGAAAAGGAGCAAAUUAAAACGCGCGUAACAUGAGGAGGACCUAAAAAGAAAUUUACCCAAACCUCCCAAACACCGCACAGCAAUGAGGACCGCAUUGAAACAAUAUUAAAAUAUGCAGUAAAAUUUAAAAGAAACAAUAAAUUUAAUUUAAACAACCCCAAAAAGUAAAGGACCAGUCGCACGAAUGGCCCCUUUUGAACCCUUAUAAAAUCCCAUUUUAAAACCCUAAAGCCAUUCCCUCUCUGCCAUUUGAAGAUUUGCGCCGUAGCCCCUCUCCCUCUCUGUUGCUUCAGACUCCAACGAAGCAAAGAGACCUUCCGACGCCUCUCACAACGGUUAGUCCUCCUCCCCUCACCCUUUUCGUGUUUCGCUCUUAGGAAGAAGGAAGAGAUACCACGAAACAAACAACAAAAAAACAAUAAAAUAAUAAGAGAUCCCAGAAAACAAAAUUAAUCACCUCUCGAAUCCUUGCUUUUCUAUUUUUCCUCUUUAUUUCCUUUAAUUCUCAAUACCAAAAUUUGCUAACCCCCUUUACAGAUUUGAUUCCCCCCUUUAUACAACCGAAAACCCCUGUUUUUCGUUUGCCCCCUACCUCCUCUGUUCGUGGCUUAUUUGUUGCAGGUGGAUACUAGAGGAGGCGUGCGCGACGUGUGUACGGGGACUGAACAUGGGUGAAGACAGUUACGUGGGCAGUUACUGCGACGCGAAGAACAUGCGUGGCACGAAAGCUAUCUGCUGCUUAGAGUUAGGGUUUGCACACUUGGGCCAUAUUGGGCCGAAUGUAUUAGGAUUUAGCCCAAAUUUUAUUUUGACUGUAUAAUAAACUAUCUUUUUAUUAAAAUUGGUUUUAUUUUCUGCUAAGCCCGGGCCCAAAAUUGGGUAUUACAGCUAUUUCGACAUAUUAGUCACUAAAAAUUCAAUUUAUGUAUUAACAAUUCUCAUUUGUGUUAAUAUUAAAAUUUCAAAAUUUGAACAGUAUAGGGACUUAGAAUGAUCCAAUUAAAGAAUAUAGACUAUAUCUAUAAUCGUACGCAUAGUGCAAGACUAGUUAUUUAAUUUAACCAAACAGAUUUAACUGUUAUUAUUUGGGUUAGGACUAAAAUUCUAAAUUUUAAAAAAUAUAGGGACUAAAAUUGACCAAUUCAAAAAGUAUAAAGAUUAAAAUGAUCAAAUUAAACUAAAGGGACUAAAUCCAUACUUCUUAUAAAGUACAAAGGACUAAUACAAGAAUUUAACAAAAACACCCCCUCAAAUUUUCUACUUCUUGUUUUCAAAAAAAUAAUAGGUUGAAGGUUUCAAAAAAAUAAUACAAUCAACUUUUCAUUUGUCUCCAAUAAACGUUUCUAUGUUGUAAUUUGAGAAUUAACAUAUUUUCAUUCUUAAACUCAAGCAACGCUUGAUCAUAAAUUCUUGAUACCCCUUUUAACUACAAUUCUUUUUACCAUGUGCUAGUGUGACUUGAAAGAAUCUAUCAAUUAAUGAAGCAUACCACAACUCAAAUGAAAAUUUACUCCAAGCCUUUUGCAAAAUCUGCAUACUUCUUUUACUACCUCAACUUCUCUUAAAAGAACCUAUUAAUUAAUGAAUUAUUAUUAUUGUUAUACUUUUAAUCGUGUGAGUACACGUGGUAAAUCAGAAAAGCACCUAAAUACUAAGUUAGUUGUCAGCAAAUCGAAAAGUCACCCACAAGCUCUCAUUCUCAAAGACGACCACUCGGACAGGUGCAAACCAUCCUUUACUAAAUCUUCAAGCUUUCAUUUGGAACAUAAAAUUGUUGGUUACCAAACACAUCGUGGAAUCAAUGGUCUCAUACCAUCAAGUCAAAGUGAAUGACACGAUCUAUCUCAUCGCAGACAUUCUAGUCUCAUCAAAGACAUCUGCCCCAUGUGUUUCGUAAUGAUCACUAAAUGGCAAGCCUAACACAUUAACAUCAUCUUACUUGAGACCCUCGCUUAUAAAUACCUUUAGGAACGAUGAAGGAAAGAACGACUCUCCAAGAAUAUCAAGCAUAUACUUUGUCAACUUACCUUCGACCUUAGCAUUCUCCUCGCCUUCUUUCUUUUUAAUUUUUGGCUUUUUCACCCUAAUUGGGUGAACCAACCUCCACAACAACCAACACUCUCUCUUCCAUGCUUUUUCCUUGUAUCACUGUAUCAACAAUCACCUUGUAUACACAGCCAACUAGACCUUUUCCUAGCUCAUUUUAAUCACAAAAAAUAUUUGUUGGUGCAUGUAAAAUGCUCAAUUGAAUUGCAAGAAACUCCUAAGAUCUUUCUACAUUUUCUAGAUAAAACUUUCGCUUGAGUUCUCAUGCGGAAUGCUUCCCACUACCAGGUCAAGUAAUGGGACUUGUUGGCCUCUAUCCUCGGUGAUAAAACAUAAUGUGAUUGGUAUAAGAUUAUAACAAAAUAUUGUAAAUGCCAACAUGAUCUAAUAGUGCAUACAUUGAAAGUUUAUCCAAUUGUCCUCCUUUAGAGAUAAAGAUUGAAUGAAGAUUACUUGGCUUGUAUAUUAUAAUUUGUAAUUUUGCAAGUUUAGUAACAUAUUAGAUAACUACAAGUCAUUACAAAAGAGUAGAAUUUGAUUGUUUAUAGAAUGAUACUAUCUAUACCUAUUACUAAAGCUUUGGCCAAAGGUUACAGUGAUGCCUGCAAGCAAAUGGGUGAGAAUACAAACCACAACAUUAUCCUGCAUUGUUGCAGAUAUUCUAUGUUCAUUUCCCAACUUCUCACUCACAUUUAUUUCUUUAUAUCUUCAGAGGACUGGUAUAGGUUCUCUUAUAUAUUACUCCCAUUUGUUUUAGGCAGAGAACAGAUGAGAUAUCCAUUUAUUUUGCAUACUUUUCUAAGUCAAAAUUUCAUUAUCAAAUCAAGUAAAUUUUUAAAUGAAUAAAUUAAUUUUAAAAUUAAAAAUAAAAAUGAUACUUUUGGUUUAGUUUAUGCUUAUGCAGUUUGUCAGUGUAGUUUUAUCUUCCAUAAUACUAAGAGAACAUUAAUUUAACAAAGCAAACUCUAAAUAAAAAAGCAGUGGAAAUGUAUGGUUUAAGGGAACACCAUCACAAAACAUGUAAGCAAAUUAUUAAAAUAAAACUAAACUUAUAUAGCUCAAAAUAAGCCAUCCAUCUAAAUGAAACAAUAUAAUUGUUAUUUGUAAGGGCAAAGAGAAACACAUUAAGUUGUUGGAUUCUGAUAGUUGUUGAGCAUUGGCCUGCAAUGCAACAAGAAACUAGCAGACCAGCAUCGAAGUAAAACCAAAAGCAGCAUGAACAUUUUGUUUCUUUUAGUCUAAUUGUAACUUGUUCAAGUUGGCAUGUAACUUGUAACUUGUUAUCAAAGUUAGUAGGAUUAGUUUUAUGAUUUAAUUGAUGUAAUAGCUAAUAUGUCAGCUUCCUUUUGUGUGUAACUCAAGUUUGUAUUAGUCAUGUAUUAGUGGGAGUAGUUAAGUCAUUAGGUAACUGUCAAAUUACUUUGUAACAUUCAUAUAUUUUCAAAUUUUAAAUGAAAAAGUGUGAUGAAUUUUUAGUUAUCAUUCUUAAAACUCUCAUUCUUCUUUUGCUUCAAAUUUUCAGUUUUUGUUUUGCUUUGUUUAGCUGCCAAUGCUCCAACAAAUGGUAAUCAGAGCUUGUCAUCUUUGAGGGCCUCUGUUGUUGGUUAUUUUUGGUUACUUUAUUUUGAGAUUAAAAGCUUGAGAAGAAAAAAACAAGGAGCUGUCGACCUUGUUGUUUCAAAAUAAGUUUCACACCACCUCCACCACCUGUGUUCACUGGUGAAAACUACCACAUUUGGGUGGUUAAGAUGAAAACAUACCUUCAAGCACAUGAUUUGUGUAAUGUGGUCGAGAAUGAUGCUGAACCACCUCUAUUGAGGGCCAAUCCCACCAUUGUACAGAUCAGGCAACACAGUGAAGAGUGUGCCAAGAAGCAUAAAACAAUGACCUGUUUACAGAAUAGAGUAUCUAAUGUGAUCUUCACUCGGAUAAUGGCUUGUGACUCACCUAAGCAAGCAUGGGAGAAGCUGAAGGAGCAGUUCAUGAGUUUAGAUAAGACAAGGCAACAACAAUUGAUCGAUCUCAGGAAAGAUUUUGAGAACUUGAAGAUGAGGGAGUCAGAGACUAUUAAAUAAUAUUUAGACAGAAUAAUAGCCACUGUCAACAGCAUUAGGCUCCUUGGAGAAGACUUUAGUGAGAGCAGAGUUGUUGAAAAAGUAUCACCACUCUUCCUAAGAAGUUAGAGUCAAAUAUUUCAUCACUUAAGGACUCGAGAGACUUGUUAGCUAUCUCACUGUCUGAGCUGAUAAACUCCUUGCAUGCACUUGAGCAAAGGAAGGCCAAUAGGCAGGAAGAGCAUCCUAAAGGAACUUUCCAAGCAAAGGCUAAAGAAGGCUCAAGUUUAAGCCAGAAAGGGAAGAAGCCUUGGCUCGAUAAAAGGGAAAAACCAAUGAGAGAUGUAGGAAAGAAGAGGUUUCCAUCAUGCAUUCACUGCAAAAGAACUACACAUUUGGAGAAAUAUUGUUGGUAUAGGCCAGACAUUCAGUGCAGAAGCUGCAAACAAUUUGGCCAUAUUGAAAAGGUGUGUAAGAGCAAAGAGAAGGCACAAGCUCAGUAGCAAAUGCAAGCUAAGGUUGCUGAGGACUUUCAAGCUUAAGAGGAGUAUGUUUUCACUGCCUUAUGCUUUGCAGCCUCAAGCAAAGUAAAAAAGGACUGGCUAGUGGAUAGUGGCUGCACACAUCACAUGGCAGCUGAUGAAAGGUUGUUCAAAGACCUUGAUAGAAGUUUUUCCUCAAGAAUUAGAGUUGGUAAUGGGAACCUAAUUGAAGCCAAAGGCAGAGGUAAUAUGGUGAUCAACACUUGUUCAGGUCACAAAGUGAUUUCUGAUGUGCUUUUUGUACCUAACAUAGAUCAGAAUUUAUUUAGUGUUGGACAACUAGUAGAAAGAAGAUAUUCUCUGGUUUUUAAGAAUGGUUCUUGCAUUGUUGAAGACUCACAUGAUCAAAAGUUAGUCACAGUAGAAAUGACAGAUAGGUGUUUUAUGCUUGAUGUGAAUCAACUUGAGAAGAAGGCUUACACCAAUCUUGCUGAUAACACUGGUCUUUGGCAUAGGAGACUAGGCUAUGUCAAUUUUAGAUCACUUGAUUUGUUGCACAAGUUGAAUUUGGUAGAAUUCAUGUUAAAAGUUGAACCCAGAGACAUUGUUUGUGAAGUUUGCCAACUUAGUAAGCAGGCUAAAUUACCAUUUCCAUUUAAUAAGGCGUGGAGAGCUCGAGACAGACUUGAGUUGGUCCAUUUUAAUGUCUGUGGGACAAUGAAGACUCCUUCCUUAAAUGUCAGUAGAUAUUUUGUACUAUUUAUUGAUGACUUGACCAGGUUUUGUUGGGUUUAUUUCUUGAAGCUGAAAUUUGAAGUGUUUGAAGCAUUCAGUAAAUUCAAAGCUUUAGUUGAAAACUAGACUAGUUACAAGAUCAAGGCUUUGAGAACUGAUAAUGGCACUGAGUACCUAUCUGAAAGGUUGCAAAAAUUGUGUAAGCAAGCCGGGAUUCAUCUUCCAUUAACAACAGUCUAUAUACCUCAGCAAAAUGGAGUAUGUGAGAGAAAGAAUAGAACUGCGCUUAAUAUGGCCAGAUGUCUGUCAUUUUAGAGUAAGCUUCCAAGUAAAUUUUAGGCUGAGGCAGUUAAUACCUCAGUGUACCUACUUAACAAGCUGCCAACUCAUGCUGUCAAUGACAAGACUCCUUUUGAAGCUUGGCAUGGACUCAAGCCAACCGUUUCACACCUGAAAGUGUUUGGUUGUGUCUGUUAUACUCUCAUCCCAACUGAGAAGAGAACCAAGCUUGAAAGAAGGGCUGUUCCAAGGAUAUUUAUUGGCUACAGUAGCACAAAAAAGGGCUACAGGGUAUUUGAUCCUUCAACAAGAAGGAUUUUAGUGAGUAGAGAUGUAAGGUUUGAUGAAGAGAAGGUUUGGAGUUGGAAUGAUGCAGAUGCAAGGUUGAUUGAAGAACAUCAACUUGACAACAGCCUGGAAUUAGUUGAAAAUGAACCUAGCAAUGAAGAUUUUGAUAAUGCUCCUGUGAGAGGCACCAGAACAAUUGCUGACAUCUACCAAAGAUGUGAUGUUGCAAUAGUGGAACUUUUAAAUUUUAAAGAAGCUACCAAGGACAAGUGUUGGAAGAAGGCCACGGAAGCUGAAUUAGACAUGAUUCAUAAGAAUAACUUUUGGGAAUUGGUUGAUAGACCAGAUCAGAAAAAAGUUAUAGGUGUCAAGUGGGUGUUUAGAGCCAAGUACAAUGCUGAUGACUCAUUGAACAAACACAAGGCAAAGCUUGUGGUAAAAGGCUACAGCCAGCAAUAUGGCAUCGAUUUCAUGGAGACAUUUACUCCAGUAGCAAGGCUAGACAAAAUUAAAAUUCUGUUUGCCUUGGCUGCUCAGAAGCAUUAGAGGGUUCACCAGUUAGAUGUUAAGUCAUCAUUUCUUAAUGGUUUUCUCAAGGAGGAAAUUUUCAUUGAGCAACCAGAUGGGUUUAAGGUCCUAGGAGAGUCUAUAAGUUGAAAAAGACAUUGUAUGGCCUAAAGUAGGUACCAAUGGCCUAGUUUAACAGGAUUGACACAUACCUGUCUAGGCUCGGGUUUGAAAAAAAGUGUUAGUAAAGCUACACUUUAUGUGAAGAGAUCAGAAAAUAAGACCCUGCUGAUUGUUUCUCUUUAUAUGGAUGGCUUAUUUGUGACUGAAAGCAAAGAUGAUUUGAUUAGUGAAUUCAAAGUGCAAAUGCAAGAGGUGUUUGAAAUGACAGAUUUGGGAGUCAUGAUAUACUUCAUUGGUAUAGAAGUGAAUCAAUCUGAUCAAGGCAUUUUCAUUAGCCAACGUGCCUUUGCUUUGAAAAUUCUCAAUAGAUUUUGCAAGUUAAACUGCAAAAUAGUCACUACACCUGUGGCUCAAUGAAAGAAGCUGACUAGUAGUUGGAAUCAAGAGAGGGUUGAUGAGAAGGAAUAUCGAAGCCUAGUAGGUUGCUUGCUUUACUUAACAACAACUAGACCUGACAUUAUGUUUGAUGUUAGUCUUUUAUCAAGAUUUAUGCACUGUUGUGAUGUAGUUCAUUUUAAAGUAGCUAAUAGGAUCCUCAGAUAUGUCAAGGGAACUUUAAGUUAUGGAAUUAAAUUUGAGAAGAGAAAAGAGCUUAAGCUGACAGGAUACUCUAAUAGUGAUUGGGAUCGCUCUGUCGAUGAUAUGAAGAGCUCCUUGGUUACUUUUUUACUCUUGGAUCAAGAGUUUUCUAUUGGAGUUCAAAGAAACAACAAACGGUUGCUCAAUCAAUAGCUAAAGCAGAAUACAUUACAGCUGUUGUAGCUGUUAAUCAAGCCAUUUGGCAUAGAAAGCUUCUAUGUGACUUGAAUGAAGAACAGAUUGAACCAACUGAAAUCAGGGUUGAUAACUAGUCAGCAGUUUUCAUAGCCAAAAAUCUAGUUUUUCAUGGCAAAACUAAAUAUUUUGAUAUCAAAUUUCACUUUUUUCGAGAAUCUGAGCAAUCAAAAGAAGUCAGUCUUGUUCAUUGUAGCUCAGAAAACCAAUUAGCUGAUAUUUUGACUAAGUCACUCGGUGCUACAAGGUUUGAAAUGUUAAGGAGAAAAAUUGGUGUUUGUUGCAUACAGUCCAAGGAGGAGUGUUGAGUAUUGGCCUACAAUAUAACAAAAAACCAGCAAACUAGUAUCGAAGUAAAACCAAAAGAAGCAUAAGCAUUUUGUUUCUUUUAGUCUAAUUGUAACUUGUUCGAGUUGGCAUGUAACUUGUAACUUGUUAUUAAAGUUAGUAGGAUUAGUUUUAUGAUUUAAUUGAUGUAAUAGUUGAUAUGUCAGCUUUCUUUUGUGUGUAACUCAAGUUUGUAUUAGUCAUGUAUUAGUGGGAGCAGUUAAGUCAUUAGGUAACUGUCAAAUUACUUUGUAACUUUCAUAUAUUUUCAAAUUUUAAAUGAAAAAGUGUGAUGAAUUUUCAGUUAUCAUUAUUAAAACUCUCAUUCUUCUUUUGCUUCGGUUUUUCAGUUUUUGUUUUGCUUUGUUUAGCUGCCAAUGUUCCAACAAUAGUGCAUCUAAUACAGUACUAAAAGCUUGAUAACAUCUUUUUGAGUGAACAUUAUUGGAGCUUACUGCUACUCACUCAGCUUUGGCUUAACAUAAAGAUUGUUUAAAGAAAUCCAUGAAUAGGAUAUUCUGAAACAGAGAUGAACAAAGUAAUAUAUGAUGAACAUAAGAAUUUAGAAGCUAAAAUCAUUUGCCAUCCAUUUAUUCUUACCUACUCUUAUGGGAUACAAAGUGCAGUCUCAACUUACUGCAAUGUGCUUCUUUUAAAAUAGUAGAAUUGAGCUUUGAAAACUUUAUUAGGAGACAGCAUGUCCAACCAUUGAUCCUGAAAAUAUAGUAGAAAAUUAUAUCCUAAAUUCAUCAAAUCAAAAUCAUUUUUGAAUGAACAAUGAAUUCUGGGCAGCAGUGAUCACUAAUAACAGAUAUGGAUGAAUAAUACUGCAGAUGUCUAGACAUCCUUAUUAACGGGAAUGUAGUGGUCUUUUAGAUAAUUCUUGGAUGUAAUUUGAUAAUUUAAUGACUACUAAAAAGUUCAAACUUUCUUACUUUUUUUCUUUUAAUUUGGUUUGCUCAAACUCAACCUGUCAAAUAAGAAUACUCUUAUUUAAAAUUAAAAUUCAAAAGUAGAAAAUCACCUAAUUACCGAUUCAAAUGGAUGGAAUGUAGGAUAUGUUGGGCCAAUCCUCUCCUCUCUCUUUCUAGCACCGCCUUUCCAGAUGUGGACACCCUGCAAUGCUUAGCAUUUCUAGAGUCAUGAGGCUUUGUAUCCCUCAAGGCAAUGACAUAAAACUGGAGCAAUCCUUAAUCUCCAAUUUUGAAAGUAAGGUGAGGUGUUGUAUCUCAUUUGAAAGAGAAAUUAAUCUCUCAUAACUCGAAAUACACAAAGGUUGAAGAGAAGAGAGAUGUUGGACAAUCAUCAAUAACCAAGUCUAGGAGUGAAGUCAAAUAUCACACCCCUUCAGUUAAAGAGGCUAAUUUCUUACUAUGAUGAAUCGUCAGUGAAAAUAAGGAAGAUAAGCCUUGCAAUCCAUUUAUCGGAAGAGAUAAAAGGCUAUCACAUCGAGUUAACUAUAAGAAUAUUGGCAUUCAACAUCAAAGAUUUGAGUAAAGCAACAUUAAUUCUUUCAACAUUUAGAUUUUUUAGAGAUUGAAGCAUUGGAAAUUUAACCAACUUAGGACAAUCUUCAAUAAUUAAUGAACUUAAGAUAGGAAAAUGUUCUCUACCAUUCAUUGCUGUUCAUUUCUCCAAACAUGGUGCCCAACGUAUUUCAAGAACCUUGAGUGAUGGAAAAGAACUUUCCAUAUCUCUAUAGAAGUUGCUGUCAAUAUACUUCAAAGCACCCAUUCUAUAAAUAGUAAGGACCUCAAGGAAGCGUAAUUUCCCUAAAGGUAGUAGAUGGUAUCUUUCACAAUUUAUUAAUGAGAUUUCAACAAGGUUUGGUAGAAGCAAAUCCAUCAUCCAAUAUGGAAACUUAACACAUUGGCAAUCAAUUAGGCAUAACUUCUUCAAGCUUGAAUGAGGCUGGAAAAAAUUAAGAAUCUCUUCAUCAUUUCCAUUUUGAUGAUGAGAGGUUUCUUAGCUCUUUACUUCCCAAGAUGGCCUUAACGAUCUUAAAUUUUGCUUCUCUAAAAAUAAAAUAUCGGUAAUGACAAUAUAUAAUUUUUACGUGGAAACCUUUUCAGGAAAAAAACCACGGACAAAUGAGAAGAAAAUUCACUAUGUCGAAUUCGAAUGAUUACAAGAGGAGUAAACUAUGUCUAUUUAUAGGCUUGUAAAACCAUAUCCUAAUAGGAGUCUAGUAAGAUUGAAACACCUUAUUCUAAUAAAUAUCAAAUAAGUGGAGUUUAAUAAGGUUUAAAAAACCUUAUUCUAAAAUAAAAUAAAAUAAAAGAAGUGUAAUUCUAUAGGGAUUUUACUUUUAUUUUAUUUUACCACUGUAUUUUAUUUAAAUAAGGAUUCGGGUCACUUAAUUCUAACAAUCUCUACCUUGACACGAAUUCUCAAUGAACAAGUUCUUCAUCGCAAACUUUCAACGAAUAAGUUCUCCACCUCUUCCAUAAAACCCCUUAAGAGUUUAACCUCAACAAUGAACACCAAUCAAGUCUAAGCAAUGCUCAAACUUGGUUAUAGAAAGUGACUUAGUCAUCAUAUUUGCAAGAUUUUCAUGAGUACUAAUUUUACUCACAGCAAUAUCACCACGAGCAAUAAUAUCACGAAUAAAAUGAUACCGAACAUCAAUGUGCUUUGCUCUCUCAUGAAACAUUUGAUCUUUUGUAAGGAAGAUGGCACUCUAACUAUCACAAAAUAUUGUAUUGAUUUGAAGGUCUUCAUUGAGUUCACUAAAUAGUCCCUUCAACCAAAUAGCUUCUUUACAAGCCUUAGUAAUCACCAUGUACUCAACUUUAGUGGUAGAUAAAGCGACUGUAGUUUGCAAAAUGGUUUUCCAACUGAUUGCACAACCUUCGAUUGUAAAUACAUAACCUGUGAGAGAUCUUCUUAUAUCAAGAUCUCCAGCAAAAUCAAAACCAACAUACCCAAUGACUCCAUCUCUAGUUUUUCCAAACUGUAAGCAAACAUCAGUAGUACCUCGUAAGUAUCUUAAAACCCACUGAAUUGCUUUCCAAUGUUCUUUACUGGGAUUCGCCAUGUAUCUGCUAACUGCACUGACUGCAUAUGAUAAAUUUGGACGUGAACAAACUAUGGCAUACAUGAAAGAUCCCACUGCACUAGAGUAUAGAACAUAUGACAUGUAUUUAAUAUCAUCAUCUGAUUGUGGAGACAAAGCCGAUAAAAGUCUGAAAAGGGCUACUAAAGGAGUACUAACAGGCUUAGCAUUCUGCAUAUUGAAUCUGCAAAGAACUUUCUCAAUGUACCCCUUCUGACUUAGGUACAAUUUACUUGCUUUUCUAUCUCUAAGAAUCUCCAUACCAAAUAUCUUCUUUGCUGGUCCCAAAUCUUUCAUCCCAAAUUCUUCACUUAGUUGGGCUUUGACCUUUCUUAUCUCUCCUUUAUCUUUCGCUACUAUCAACAUGUCAUCAACAUAAAGGAUUAGAUACACAAAAGAACCAUCACUAUUUUUGUUAAAGUAAACAUAACUGUCAAAGCUACUUCUUUUAAAAUCAUGAGAAGUCAUAAAUGAAUCAAACCUCUUGUACCACUGUAUUGGUGACUGUUUUAAACCGUAAAGGGACUUUUUCAGCAAGCAAACAUAAUCCUCUUUUUUUGAGAUUGUAAAACCCUCUAGUUGUUGCAUGUAAAUAUCCUCUUCAAGUUCUCCAUGCAAAAAUACAAUUUUUACAUCUAACUGCUCCAGAUCCAAAUCAUACAUGGCCACAUUACCAAGCAAAGCUCGAAUCGAACUAUACUUCACAACUGGGGAGAACAUAUCUGUGAAGUCCACUCCUAGAAUUUGACUAUAACUCUUUGCAACAAGCCUUGCUUUAUAUCUAGGUUUUUCAACUCCUAGAGUCCCAUCUUUCUUUUUAAACACCCAUUACAACGAAUAACCUUUUUACCUUUAGGAAGUUUCAUAAGAUCCCAUGUUUUGUUUUUGUGGAGUGAUUCCAUCUCCUCUUGCAUAACAAACAUCCAUUUUUCUGAGUCUUCACAACUAACCGCCUCAGAAUAAAUAGAUGGCUCUUGGUUUGCAUAUAUAUCUUAAGCCACAUUUAAAGCAUAAGCAACAAGAUCAGCCUCGACAUACUUCUUUGGAGGUUUAAUUUCUCUUCUAGUUCUGUUUUUGGCGAUAAAGUAUUAUGGUGAAGAAGCAACUCUAUUCUGAAUUUUAGUACUGGCUUGAGGAGUCGACUCUAUUGUAGAUUCUGAAUUAAGCUGAUUUUCCACCUACUUUUGAUUUUCUUUAUUCGAAGAGCCUUUAAGAGAUAAGUUAGGUAGCAUAACAGUUUCAUCAAAAACAACAUCUCUGCUAAUCACAACUUUUCUAUUUUCAAGACACCAUAACAUAUACCUUUUUACACCAGCUUUAUAACUAAGAAAAAUACAUUUAAUAGAUCUCAGUUCCAAUUUUCCAUUAUCAACAUGAGCAUACGCAGGACACCCAAAGAUUUUUAAAUCAGAAUAGUUAGUAGGAUUACCAGACCAUACCUUUUGUGGAGUCUUUUUUUCAAUGGUAAUGGAUGGAGAUCGGUUGAUAAAAAAAUAUGCAGUAGAGGCUGUUUUGGCCCAAAAUGACUUUGGUAAGUUGGAAUUUAACAACAUACACCGACCCUUCUCCAUGAUCGUUCUGUUCAUUAGUUCUGUAAUGCCAUUUUGCUGUGGCGUAUGACGAACUGUCAAAUGUCUCACGAUCCUUUCUGACUUACAUAGCUUAUUAAACUCACCAGAACAGAAAUCUAAGCCAUUAUUUGUGUGGAAGUAUUUUAUUUGUUUUCCCGUCUAUUUUUCAAUCAUAGUUUUCCAAAACUUAAAUGCGAAAAACACAUCGCUUUUAUGCUUCAGAAAGAACGCCCAAACUUUUUGGGAAAAAUCAUCAAUAAAAGUUAGCAUAUAAUUAGCUCCACCUCUCGAAGGCACUUUGGAAGUCCCCAACAGAUCAGAAUGAAUAUACUCCAACAUUUCCUUCAUUUUAUGGAUUCCUGUAGUGAAUCAAACUCUCUUUUGCUUCCUAAAAAUGCAGUGCUCACAGAACUUCAGUUUGUAAAUUUCUUACCCAUCAAUAAGUCUUCUUUUGCUCAAUUCUGCCAUGCCAUUCUCACUCAUAUGCCCUAGGCGCAUAUGCCAAAGGUUAGUAAUAUCAUUAUCUGACAAGAAAGAGGAUGCGACAGUUGCAUCACCAAUAACAGUAGAACCCUACAAAAUAUAUAACUUGACAGUCUUUCUCUGCCCUUUCAUCACAACGAGGGAACCUUUAAAAAUCUUCAAAACCCUACUUUCAGCUGUGUAUUUGUACUAUUUUGAAUCAAGAGUACUCAACGAAAUUAAAUUUCUCUUCAAUUCUGGAACAUGUCAUAUGUCACUAAGUGUUCUAACAACUCCAUCAAACAUUUUAACUUUAAUUGUUCCAACACCUGCGAUUUUACAUGAAGUAUUAUUUCCCAUCAAAACUACACCUUCAGACACUGUUUCGUAAGUUGUAAACCAAUCCCGAUUGGGACUCAUAUGAAAGGUGCAACUCGAAUUAAGGAUCCAUACCUCGCUCACUUUAGAAUUGUUGACAAAAGCGACUAGAAGUUCACCAUCGCUGUAGUCUUCGACAACAUCAGCUUUACCGAAAUUUUCUGGUUGUUUUCCAUUUUAAUUAGCAGCCUCCAUUUUGAUAUUAUUCUGUAGCUUAUAGCACUUAGAUUUAAAAUACCCUUUCUUUUUGCAGAAGUUACAAGGUUUACCACUGUUUGAAUACUUUGAUCUACUAUUAGAUUUACCGCGAGGAUUCUGUUCCUGUGUUUUUCCAUGAUCAUCAUUAGUAUUCUGUUCAUUAGUUCUGUAACACCAUUUUACUGUGGAGUAUGAUGAACUGUCAAAUGUCUCAUGAUCCUUUCUGACUUUCAUAGUUUAUUAAACUCAUCAGAACAAAACUCGAAGCCAUUGUUUGUGUGGAGGUAUUUUAUUUGUUUUCCCAUCUGUUUUUCAAUCAAUCAUAUUUUUCCAAAAUUUAAAUGCAGAAAACAUACCGCUUUUCUGCUUCAGGAAGAACGACCAAAAUUUUCUACAAAAAUCAUCAAUAAUAGUUAGCAUAUAAUUAGCUCCACCUCUCGAAGGCACUUUGAAUGUCCCCCACAGAUCAGAAUGAAUAUACUCCAACGUUUCCUUUGUUUUAUGGAUUCCUGUAGUGAAUCAAACUCUCUUUUGCUUCCUAAAAAUGCAGUGCUCACGGAACUUCUGUUUGCAAAUUCCUUACCCAUCCAGAAGUCUUCUUUUGCUCAAUUCUGCCAUGCCAUUCUCACUCAUAUGCCCUAGGCGCAUACGCCAAAGGUUAGUAAUAUCAUCAUCUGACAAGAAAGAGGAUGCGAUAGCUGCAUCACCAAUAACAGUAGAAUCCUACAAAUAUAUAACUUGACAGUCUUUCUCUGCCCUUUCAUCACAACGAGGGAACCUUUAGAAAUCUUCAAAACCCCACUUUCAGCUGUGUAUUUGUACUAUUUUGAAUCAAGAGUACUCAAUGAAAUUAAAUUUCUCUUCAAUUCUAGAACAUGCCAUACGUCACUAAGUGUUCUAACAACUCCAUCAAACAUUUUAACUUUAAUUAUUCCAACACCUGCGAUUUUACAUGAAGUAUUAUUUCCAAUCAAAACAACACCUUCAGACACUGUUUCGUAAGUUGUAAACCAAUCCCGAUUGGGACUCAUGUGAAAGGUACAACUCGAAUCAAGGAUCCACUCCUCGCUCACUUUAGAAUUGUUGACAAAAGCGACUAGAAGUUCACCAUCGCUGUAGUCUUCUACAAAAUCAGCUUUACCAAAAUUUUCUGGUUGUUUUCCAUUUUAAUUCGCAGCCUCCCUUUUGAUCUUAUUCUGUAGCUUAUAGCACUUAGAUUUAAUAUGCCCUUUCUUCUUGCAAAACUUACAAAGUUUACCACUGUUUGAAGACUUUGAUCUACUCUUAGAUUUACCGCGAUGAUUCUGUUCUUGUGUCUUUCCACGAUCAUCAUCAGCAUUCUAUUCAUUAGUUCUGUAACGCCAUUUUGCUAUGGUGUAUGAGGAACUGUCAAGUGUCUUACGAUCCUUUCUAACUUACAUAGUUUAUUAAACUCAUCAGAAUAGAACUCUAAGCCAUUGUUUUUGCGGAGGUAUUUUAUUUGUUUUCCCAUCUGUUUUUCAAUCAUAGUUUUCCAAAACUUAAAUGCGAAAAACACAUCACUUUUCUGCUUCAGGAAGAACGCCCAAACUUUUCUGGAAAAAUCAUCAAUAAUAGUUAGCAUAUAAUUAGCUCCACCCCUCGAAGGCACUUUGGAUGGCCCCCACAGAUCAGAAUGAAUAUACUCUAACGUUUCCUUUGUUUUAUGGAUUCCUCUAGUUAAUCAAACUCUCUUUUGCUUCCUAAAAAUGUAAUGCUCACAAAACUUCAUUUUGCAAAUUCCUUGCUCAUCAAGAAGUCCUCUUUUGCUCAAUUCUGCCAUGCCAUUCUCACUCAUAUGCCCUAGGCGUAUAUGCCAAAAUUUAGUAAUAUCAUCAUCUGACAAGGAGGAGGAUGCGACAGCUGCAUCACUAAUAACAGUAGAACCCUGCAAAAUAUAUAACUUGGCAGUAUUUCUCUUCCCUUUCAUCACAACGAGGGAACCUUUAGAAAUCUUUAAAACCCCACUUUUAGCUGUGUAUUUGUACUGUUUUGAAUCAAGAGUACUCAAUGAAAUUAAAUUUCUCUUCAAUUCUGGAACAUGUCAUAAGUCACUAAGUGUUCUAACAACUCCAUCAAACAUUUUAACUUUAAUUGUUCCAACACCUGUGAUUUUACAUGAAGUAUUAUUUCCCAUCAAAACAAAACCUUCAGACACUGUUUCGUAAGUUGUAAACCAAUCUCGAUUGGGACUCAUGUGAAAGGUACAACUCGAAUCAAUGAUCCACUCCUCGCUCACUUUAGAAUUGUUGACAAAAGCGACUAGAAGUUCACCAUCGCUGUAGUCUUCUACAACAUCAGCUUUACUGAAAUUUUUUGGUUGUUUUCCAUUUUAAUUCGCAACCUCUCUUUUGAUCUUAUUCUGUAGCUUAUAACACUUAGAUUUAAUAUGCCCUUUCUUCUUGCAGAAGUUACAAGUUUUACCAUUGUUUGAAGACUUCGAUCUACCCUUAGAUUUACCGCGAGGAUUCUGUUCCUGUAUCUUUCCACGAUCAUCAUCAGCAUUCUGAUCUUGUCUCCCACGAACAAUGAGACGCUCUCCCUGAGAGUAGGUUUUAACCACAAGAUGCUUCAUCUUAUCAUACGAGGUUAAAGAAUCAUAAACCUUAUGAACUGUGAGAGACUCACAGCUAUAUAAAAUAGUAUCUCUAAAGUUUGAAUAAGACAAGGGUAAUGAAUAAAGUAGAAUCAACCCUAGAUCUUUUUUUAUCAUACUGAACCUCCAUGACCUCCAAGUUUGAGAGAAUUCUUUAAACACUGUUAAGUGUUCGUGCACAGACGCAGCUUCCUCCAAACGAUGAGUAUAAAGACGCCACUUCAUAUGCAACUUGCUAGUUAGAGUAUUCGACAUGCAUAUUUGUUCCAACCUCUUCCAUAAUCUAGUGACGGUCUUCUCCUUCAUCACAUCCUGCAAAAUUUCGUUAGAAAAAUGUAGAUGUAACUGUGUUAACGCCUUUCGAUCCUUGCGAUUCUUCUCUUCCUCCGUCAGUGUCGAAGGCAUCUUAUCUACCCCUAACAGGGAUUCCUCUAAGUCCAUCUGUGCAAGAACUGCCUGCAUCUUUAUCUGCCACAACGCAAAUCUGGUGUUGCGAUCCAAUAGCGAAAUUUCAUACUUCAAAGAUGUCAUUACCGUGAUUAAGAUGAACAACCCAAAAGCUCAGAUACCAAUUUGUAAAAAUAGAAUGUCGGUAAUGACAAUAUAUGAUUU
rnacentral:lncRNA from 1 species